rnacentral:lncRNA from 1 species
UUUUUUUUUGUGGUUUUUGUUCUCAGCAAGAGCCUUGCUCGGUUUAAAGAAGGUCAUUUAAACCCUUCUUAAAAACCUCUCUUCUGAGUUUGCCCUCUAAUCUUGGAUUUAGUUUCUUCUAAAAAGAAAACCUUUUUGGUUUUGGGCUUUUAUUUGGUUUUGAUCCAUUCUUGUUUUACCAUGCCUCUUAUGGUAAAACUCCCCCAAAACCCCUCCUUCCACUUUGGAACAACCCAAACAUUCUGUCCCAACUAAUAAAAUCCAUUUUUGGAUUUUAUCUCAUUUAUUUCUUUUCCCAAAACAAUUUUUUCCUUUAUUUUGACCCUAGGUAAUUUGCAAAGCAAGUACCUUAAUGCCUUUGAACUUUAAUCUCAACUCAACUCCUCUGGAUAGUCCUUAGCACCCACAACCUAGAACCAUCAAGAUCCACUCUUCUUCUUUUCAAAAUUUUCAAAAUUCACCCUCUGCAAGUUUGGACUAGAUUUGUCAAAUUUGGUGAAAUUCAUAUCUCCACUUCCCCAAAAAUUCCACCAAAAUUCAGGAAACCCCUAGUUGCAAUGAGAGACCACUCCACCAAAAACCAGCUCAAGGAAAAAUCCCUACAUGCCAAAAUCAUUCUGUCGAACACCUGGCCUACACUGUUACUGUACAUCUUCAGAAAAAUUCAGAGUUUAGUGUCGUUUCUUCGUUAGGGAUUCAGUCACAUGUCGACUGUGCAUCUGUCGCGUUGCACACGGCUCCUCCUCCCUGUCCGGAGCACCACACGCGUGCUUGGCUCGUUCCUGGCAUCGGUGGCGCCCUGGCCCGCCUACGCCGGCGUGUUCCGCGGCGGCAGAACCCCCGUAGCGGCCGACAAGGGGGCACCCUGCGGCAUAACGCCGUUCGGCACCGCCCAAACCUCCUGAGAGCUCCGCGUGGCCAUCUCCUUGCCAGCACGCAUGCAGCACCGUCGUCGUGGCCUGGCACGCGCAGAGCGCGCUCUCUGCCGCCGACGUGCCGUACGACCGUUCCGUCGGGGACAGGCCGUAACCACCCCUGCCAUGCUAAGUUAGACACUGGAAUGGCACCAGUGCUUCGUCUAGAUGAUGCUCAAGCCUCUAAUCCAACCGUCCAGCCACAGCGCCGCUGUAAUCGCUCGCCGGACUUAUCCGUUCACGGCAACCGCCUCGGGCCGGCUAUAUAAGCGCCUCCGAGCUCGCUCUCGCCCCCGCACAACUCCACCACCUCACCAGACCCCGCCUAGCCACUGGAAGAGCCUCGAGGGGCCCUUCUUCCUCCACUCCGGCCACCUCCGUCCGCCUCAGGCUCCGGCAACGUUCUCUUCGGUGAGAACUCCUCCACCGCCCUGCACUUGCCGUAGUCUCAUGGCACCACUAGGAGACUAACCCUCACUCCAAUUUGACCCCAGCAGCUCUCUCUGACGAGGCCCACGACCACCCGAACCGCCGUCCGCCGGAGCAAGGGCCGCCGUCGACACAGUGCUCGCCGGCGACCACCACCACCACCCACAGACGCGGAAGGACGUACUGAACACGGAGGUACCACCCGAUCCCCCUGCCUCGCCGUGGAUCGCCGUCGGCGACCACCGCAACUCUCGGGCGCCGUCGCGCUCUGUCUCCCUCGUUUGAAUAUUCAAACCUGACGGGUGGAGCCCGCCUGUCAGUCUCUCAUUUCUUUUCUUUUAAAUGAACCGUUUUCUGGACUUUUCUGCAGAACCCCCUGAGAGUUUUCUGUUUCAUUACAGAAAGGUCCCUGAAUCAAAACCCUUAUAUCUUUUAAACAGAAAAGUAUUUUUGUUUGAUUCUUUUUUUGUUCUCUUUAAAAUUUUGUCUAGUUUUUUAUCAGAUUUAUUUGAAAAUUAUUUGGAUUACUUUUUGUGCACCUCGCGGUAUUUACGUUACAUGCGUAUUCUUCUUAUACCGUAGAUACCGGAGGAGGUGACGGAGCCGCAAACUUCACCCAGUUAGACUUCGACUACUCCAAACCAGGCAAGCAUGUUUGAACUCUUGAUAUGAUGAGUGUUUGUUGCAUGUUUGCAUUUAGGAGUUUCAUGGCAUUUUAUGAGCACUUCUUUGAAUAUUAUUUUCAUGCAAGAGAAGUGGAAAGUGAGUUUCAGAAAUUCAUAUGUUGUUGGAUACAUAUUUGCAUGGCCAUGUGAUGGCAUGAGGAUGGGUAAGAUGGCAGUGUUGUGACACGCCAGUCUUAUGCCAGUCUAUUUGAUUUCAGUGUCAUCGUGAAUCAAAUCACAUUCCCAUUCUUCUCCUUUCCUGUACUGCCACAUGUUUUCCGCAAGGAAUAUGGCUUAGUAAGUUGCAAACUGUUUUCCUGGUACACACCAAAUAGAGAGGCCGGGAUGAGGGUUCCAUGGCCCUAGACUAAAGCCCGUCAUCCGGCCAGGAGGCAUGGGUGUUUCCGAUUGGGACCGAGAGGGGGGCACCCCUUAGAGCGCGCGUAUAGAAAUUUGAUCCCAUGCUAUUCGAGGUUGUAACCUCCCCGUCUCAAAGUUUUUUUUGGACGUUGCCUAGGGUGAUUCUUGGCAUCGUGAGGUGGAAUGGGUGUGUACCGGUUAAAUGUGUUUCUGCCGAAAUAUCGUAAACGGAACUAGUCCUUCGUGACUACGGAAAUUCGUUGGCUGUGGUCAGUUAGUACAAACUCUGCAGAGUCACAAAUUCUUUAAAUCAUCUUGUACUUGUCCAAGUACUGUAUUCAUCUUAUCUUGUCAGAUAUCAGCCUCAGUGACAAAACUCCGGUGGACUAGAUGUGUGUAAAUCCGGUUAAAAGUUAAUUCUUGUGGAUGGACUAACCUGUUGGUUACUUCUUAUACAAGCCCUUUCUGUGAUGUCGCUCAGACAUCCGACUGUGGCAUACUUGUUAUUUACAUUUGUUAUAAAGCCCUUUCUGUGAUGUCGCUCAGACAUCCGACUGUGGCAUACUUGUUAUUUACACUUGUUAUAAGCCCUUUCUGUGAUGUCGCUCAGACGUCCGACUGUGGCAUUUUUUUUAUAAGUCCUUUCUGUGAUGUCGCUCAGAUGUCCGACUGUGGCAUUUCUUUUACAGGCCCUUUCUGUGACGUCGCUCAGACGUCUGACUGUGGCAUUUCUUUUAUAAGCCCUUUCUGCGAUGUCGCUCAGACGUCCGAAUGUGGCAUUUCUCCUAUAAGCCCUUUCUGUGAUGUCGCUCAGACGUCCAAAUGUGGCAUUUCUCUUAUAAGCCCUUUUUGUGAUGUCGCUCAGACGUUCGACUGUGGCAUUUCUUUUAUAAGCCCUUUAUAUGGUGUCGCUUAGACGCCCGACUGCGGCAUGAGUUUUAUUUGUUUACCUUUCGAGGCGUCGCUCCAGACACCCGAUCGGUUUUCAGUUAUUUGUUUUACUUUCAAGUCGUGCAAAAAUAUUAUUUUUGGAAUGAGCAUCAUUAUUUUUGUUCAUGACGCAUUCAUGCAUACAUUUAUUAUAUCUUUUGUCCGAACUGUCUUGCGAGUACUUUCAAAGUACUCACCUGGCUUGUUGAUUUGGCCAGAUGUUGAUGAAGGCGAUCUCAUGGAUGAAGAGUUCAAUAGCGAGUCCGACGCCUAGAGGAGUCCCAGUCAGUCCCGUGUGAUCCUGCUUUGGUCACUGUAUCAUAUCCGCUUCCGCCACCCUAGAAUAAAUUCAUCGAGCCUCACCUCGACGCUCGAUGAGCUGCCAGUUAGGAGUCAAGUUAUCCACCACCACUUUUUAUCUCGAGCUAGUAGCAUGUCAUCACACCCCUGUGUUAUAGCCGCCCUUAUGUAAGAUAUUGGCGAGUUUGUAAUAAAUUGUUGAGCAGCCUCAGCUCAACCCUAUAAUACAUUUAAUGCUACUGUUCUUCUGUUUAUCAAGUAUUUGUCUACCAGUGAGGAUGACUUUUCCUAUACUGGGAUCAAAAGACCGAUUUUCUCAAUAAGUAUUUUAUUGAAAAACCGGUCGUGACAUCAUCAUACUGAAUAAUUGGGUAGUCUUAUCCAGAUGCAUAAUUUAUAGGAAGUGAUAAUUCCCCAUUUUCCCAUGCAGCAUUGAUAACAGACCGAAGGAGGUCAACAUCUCGAACAAACAGCAAUGGUGAGUAUGGAUCUCCUUGUUGAUGCCCCUUUGCACAUAAUUUUUUUGCCUGCAACUCCAUUAAGUAGCACAAUAGUAGAGGCAGAAUUUAGAAUAUUUGAUACCCAGUUAAUCCAUCUGGGCCCAAAACCUUUAGCUUUAAGCAUAGCAAUAAUGGCCUUAUAUUCAAUCUUGUCAAAAGCUUUUUCAAAGUCAAGUUUGAGAAUGAUAAUGGGUUUUUUUGAUUGAUGACAAAGAUGGAGAUAUUCAAAUGCAUAUCCCAUGCAGUCUUGAAUGUUUCUACCUUUGAUAAAUCCAUGUUGGUUUUGAUGAUAACAGAUGUUAUGAUGUUUUGGGCCCUGUUUGCCAAUAAUUUGGUAAAGAACUUCAAUGGCAAGCUGACCAGAGAUAUUGGUCUGAAAUCAUCACAAUUUCAGGAUUGUCUACUUUUGGAAUGAGGGUGAUGAAAGUAGUAUUGAUACUCUGAAUGUCACAAUUCCCCUAAAAAGGUCCCAAAGCAUAGUAUAGAAGUCUUGUUUAAUAACAUCCCAACAUUUUCUCAGGAACAUUCCAUUAAAAUCAUCAGGGCAUGGUGCCUUGUUAACAGGGAAGCCUUUAGCUACCAUCUCAACUUCAUCCACUUUAAAAGGAGCAUCAAGUUCAGACAAAUCAUGGGAUUGAAUUAGUUCAUCAAGAUUGAAAAGCAUAGUAGGAUUGAUAGAUUUGCCAAGUCCGUCCUUAUAUGAUUGCCAGAUAAUUGCAACCUUAUGUUCAUGAUUUUGAUAAGCAGUGCCAUCCUCACUGAGAAUGGAGGUAAUGUAGUUUUUUCUGAAACUCUGAGUUGCCAUAGCAUGAAAAAAAUUAGUGUUCUCAUCAUCCAAUCUAACCCUUCUCAUUUUGAAUCUAGUCUUCCAAUAUAUUAUUUUUGCUUCUAAUAGUUUGCUGGUGUGUUUCCUCAGAAUUUUCCUGAAAUUAGCUUCCAUUAUAGAUAAUUGCCUUUGUUCCUCAAUACCAUCCAGCAUGGCGAGCACAUAAUUACAAGCAGCAAUGGUGGAGUUCAACCUGGAUAGAUUUUUGCUCCAUUUCUUUAGACCUAACCCGAGGCAUUUAAAUCUAGCUGAGAUAUCCUUAGCAGAGUUGCUUAGCUGAUGAUUUCUGUUCCAACAUUGCAUCACAGUUUUAUAAAAUCCAUCAAAUUCAAACCAAUAAUUCUCAAAUCUAAAUAUGGAAGCUCUGGGGAUGUCACUACCAAUUUUUAUGUGGAUGGGUACAUGAUCAGAUGUAACUCUGGCAAGUGGAUGAGCCAGGGUAUUGGGGAAGGAUAUAGUCCACUUUGCCGAUGUAAAAAUCCAAUCAAUCUUUUUUAAGUGGUAAUUCUUGCAUAUUGGUCCAGGUAAAAUUUCUACCUUUAAGUGGAAUUUCAACUAGGUCCAAUUGCUGAAUCAAACUAUUGAACAUCAACAUGUUAUUGGAAUCACCACCAGGUCUGUUCCUGUCUAGUGGGCUUCUGAUCAGAUUAAAAUCCCCCACCAACAUCCAAUGAUCCAUAUUGGAGGCAUCAAUAUAUCCGACCAAUGGGAAAAAACAGCUUUGUUCUCAUUGUUACAUGGUCCAUAAACAUUAGUAAUAUGGAAAACAUGACCAGAUAGAUUGCAGACUAACUUGACUAUAAUUUGAAAAGUUGAUUGAUCAAUCACUGUCCCAGAAAAAAGACUGCCAUUCCAAAUUAUAAUGAUGCCACCAGAUAGGCCAAUAGAUGGACUGUAUGCAAAAUGGUUGUAUCUCCUCGGGAAAAAAAUCUGAGGUAUGGCAGAUCAAAAUUGUCUCUUUUUGUCUCCUGAAUGCAGACAAUGCCACAAAUGCUUUCAUCAAUUCUUGUAAGCAAAUCAUCCCAUCUAGUUUGGGAGUUUAUUCCUCUUACAUUUCAAUUAAGAACAUUCCAUUUUUAUUCAUAAUAAAACUGUUUAUAUUGAUUGUCAUGAUCAGAGAAUGAGUUAAUCAUCUCGGUAUGCGCUGGCAGUUCAUGGUACUGGUAUAGCAAACAUCUUCCACAAUCAUACUUCCAUUUCAACAAAUAGCAGGGCAAGAUAUCCAUCAUAUCAUAACUAUUCAGACACCAUAUAAAGAGAGAUAUAAAACAAAUAGAAGUCUUCAAACCAUAGUGCCUUAUUAUGGAGCAUAGCUCCUUACAAACCAGAUAUAAAAGUGCAACAUAGUGACAUAAGCAAAAUGAACUACCGUGGAUGACUAAAGGCCUAAGGCCAUAAAAGGUCUUGGCACUACAAGACCAGCUACCAACAUAAACUAACUUAUGCACGAUCAUCAGCAGAGCUCAGGAACUUUCUAGAGACCUCCUCAGGAGGAAUCUGACACUUCCUAGUGGCAAUGGCCUGGUGGUUGCAAGUGGAAGCUCUGGAGGAGGAGCAGCUUGUGGGUCACGGAGUUCAUAUUCAAAAUCAGUAGAUAAGUUCUUCUUGCAGUUUGGCAUGCUUUUAGCUUUAUUAGCAGCUGUCUGGUCCUUGAAGCCAACACUGAGUCCAGCUAUACGACGGCUACGACGAAGAUCAUGGACAUCCAGUGGAGCAUUGACCUUCUUGCAUUUGUUGACAACAGGAGAUACCAUCAUAGCAGAGCUUGGAGCAUCAACAUGAUCAAUCUCUUGUGGGUUCUGGACUGUGGGAAGUUCCAGAGGCUCUUGAAUUGCAGGUUGCACAUCUUCAGAUAUAUAUCAGAAAUAACAACAGAGGAUGCAGGAGGUGCAGGGAGAUAUUCAGUGGUAACAGUGAACAAGCACUUCUUAACAGCGCCAUGUUCCUCCUCAACAUUGAUAAGCUAGCAUCUAGUGCUAAUAAUUGUGGCAUCUGCAAGUUGGUCCAUGAUGGCAGGAGCAGUGGCCAUGAUUUUUGACACCAUGUCUUGAAGAGCAACAAAGCAAUCAGUGGCCUCAAUAACAGGCUGCAAGGGUGAUUCAUGGUGUUCAGGGCUGAGUGGUGGUGUAUGCACCAUAGGAGCAUCUUCCUCUUCAGGAGCAUGGUGAGCAGUAGGGGUAGCAUGAUGGUUUUGUCCAGAAAGUCUGCAUCAUGCCAUAUACCACCAAAGGGAGCAUGUGGCAUAGAGUGCAUAACACCAUUAGGGGGGAUGGGGUCCUCAUCGCCUCCCAUGGCCCCAAGGAGACCAACCUGUAGGAUAUAGACGGCACAAGUCCAGGAAUGACCAUGACCAAAGUCAUCAAGGCUCUCGCAGAUAACAUGGCUCACAGGAAUCUCAAGGAGAUCAGGUACACACACUUUGAUCAGAAUACGAGCACGGUUUGACAGGUCUCUGUUCCAAACAAUAAAUUUACCAAAUCCAUCAAUUGACUCUCUAACUUUAUCAGGACGUCACGCCUCAAGGGGGAAGUUGACCAUCAUAAUCCAGGCAUCAUGGGUAAAGGUGCAGUCUCAAUGAUUAAUACCUUGUCAUGGCGAAUGACACGAAGGACGGAGUCGCCGGAGAAAUAGGGCAUGUUGGCGAUGGCAGUGUCGAUGUCGCACGCGUGGGCGAAGCGGGCGAAUGCAGCACCCAUGCCGCAGCUGGAGAUCUCUGCAAUGCGGAAAACCACGCUCGUGGUCAAGUAGUGUCGGAUGAACACGGCGUCCGUCUCAAACUGGGCAGGGUCCGACGGUGGAGCAAGGGAGAUAAUGGCCCAGUCGCCCGAUUGAACCAGAGGCUUAGCACCAAGGUAGUGGUAAGUGCGUCGACGUCGAUUCCCGUCAGCCUCCAUGACGGUGGUGCCAGGCGGGAGGUGUUGGGGAACGUAGUAAUUUCAAAAAAAUUCCUACGCACACGCAAGAUCAUGGUGGUGCAUAGCAACAAAGGGGAGAGUGUGUCCACGUACCCUCGUAGACCGAAAGCGGAAGCGUUAGAACAACGUGGUUGAUGUAGUUGUACGUCUUCACGGCCCGACUGAUCAAGCACCGAAACUACGGCACCUCCGAGUUCUAGCACACGUUCAGCUCGAUGACGUCCCUCGAACUCCGGUCCAGCCGAGUGUCGAGGGAGAGUUCUAUCAGCACGAUGGCGUGGUGACGAUCUUGAUGUUCUACCGUCGCAGGGCUUCACCUAAGCACCACUACAAUAUUAUCGAGGAGGACUAUGGUGGAGGGGGGGCACCACACACGGCUAAGAGAUCAAGAGAUUAAUUGUUGUGUCUAGAGGUGCCCCCUGCCCCCGUAUAUAAAGGAGCCAAGGGGGAGGGGGCGGCCGGCCUAGGAGGGGGCGUGCCAUGGGGAGUCCUACUCCCACCGGGAGUAGGACUCCCUCCUUCCUUGUUGGACUAGGAGGAGGGAGGGGGGGAGGAAAGGGAGAGGAGGAGAAGGAAAGGGCGGGGGGGGGGUCGGCCCCCCUUGCCCUAAACCAAUUCGGUUUGGGCCUUGGGGGGGGCACACUCCCCUUGCUGCCCUCUAUUUCCACUAAGGCCCAUGUAGGCCCAUUAAGCCCCCGGGGGGAACCCCACGGUACUCUGGUAAAAUGCCAAUUUCAGCCGGAACACUUCCGACAUCCAAAUAUAGGCUCCCAAUAUAUCAAUCUUCAUGUCUCGGCCAUUUCGAGACUCCUCGUCAUGUCCGUAAUCACAUCCGAGACUCCGAACAACGUUCGGUACAUCAAAACUCAUAAACUCAUAAUAUAACUGCAUCGAAACCUUAAGUAUGCGGACCCUACGAGUUCAAGAACUAAGUAGACAUGACCGAGACACGUUUCCGGUCAAUAACCAAUAGUGGAACCUGGAUGCUCAUAUUGGCUCCUACAUAUUCUACGAAGAUUUUUAUCGGUCAAACCGCAUAACAACAUACAUUGUUCCCUUUGUCAUCGGUAUGUUACUUGCCCGAGAUUCGAUCGUCGGUAUCUCAAUACCUAGUUCAAUCUCGUUACCGGCAAGUCUCUUUACUCGUUAUGUAAUGCAUCAUUCCAUAACUAACUCAUUAGUUACAUUGCUUGCAAGGCUUAUAGUGAUGUGCAUUACCGAGAGGGCCCAGAGAUACCUCUCCGACAAUCGGAGUGACAAAACCUAAUCUCGAAAUAUGCCAACUCAACAUGUACCUUUGGAGACACCUGUAGAGCUCCUUUAUAAUCACCCAGUUACGUUGUGACGUUUGGUAGCACACAAAGUGUUCCUCCGGUAAAUGGGAGUUGCAUAAUCUCAUAGUUAUAGGAACAUGUAUAAGUCAUGAAGAAAGCAAUAGCAACAUACUAAAUGAUCAAGUGCUAAGCUAACGGAAUGGGUCAAGUCAAUCACAUCAUUCUCCUAAUGAUGUGAUCCCGUUUAUCAAAUGACAACUCAUGUCUAUGGUUAGGAAACUUAACCAUCUUUGAUUAACGAGCUAGUCAAGUAGAGGCAUACUAGUGACACUAUGAUUGUCUAUGUAUUCACACAUGUAUUAUGUUUCCGGUUAAUACAAUUCUAGCAUGAAUAAUAAACAUUUAUCAUGAAAUAAGGAAAUAAAUAAUAACUUUAUUAUUGCCUCUAGGGCAUAUUUCCUUCAGGAGGAGCGGCAACGGGUCGCAUGGGUACGUGGCCAUGGCGGAGGAGGAGUUGGGCGGUGCCAGCGAGAAAGAGGAGGGGGCAGAGCAGGGCAAUGAGGGCGAGCAGAGGGUUUGGCAGGGCGAGGUGAUGUGCAAUGGGGUGGUGGAGGGGUUUGGGGGAGACGAGUCAUCGGCCGGGCUAUUGGUUUCGGGUGGCGACUUGGUAGGUGGUUGAGAUUUGACCCGAUACACUUGGAGUUUGUUCCGGAGAUAGAGGCAAAAACGAGAUAUGUGACUGUAACGAAAACAGUUGCGGCAGCGGAAUUGAUUGGGGCAAGAUAAACGCGGAUGACCAUAAGAUAAGCAUUUGCCACAAAAUGGAGAGGUGACCGGGCCGUGGGUUGGGGCAGGGCUGGGCGGGGCCAAUAUGGUGUUUGGUUGGGUUGAAGAGGGUGGACGGCAUGGGCUAGGUGGGCUAGAGGGCUCGGUGGUGGCUGGCUGGUUGUUGAGCUGAGCAGAGGUAGAGGCGGGUUGGGCCAUGGUGAUGGAGAGCGAGUUUGAAAUUUGAAGGGUGGUAGCUGAAUGGCGAGGAAUCAACUCCUGAUCCGAGGAUGACGUAGGGUGGUUUGUUGUGGUAGUGGUCGGAGUAAGACGGCGGCCGAUCGGGAUGGUAUUGGCGCCGGAGAUAAUGCGACGUGGAGAAGAAUGGGUUACCGUGGUCCAUUCGUUGUCAAGGUCAUGCAACCAAGAAUUAUAUUCACGUACCCAAGCAGGGCCACCAAAACCCUAAAUAUGAAAGUAACAAUGGAAGAGAGGGCAUGUGAACAUACCCCAAAUUUACAUCGAGUUUUGAGCAGGUUUUUCCCGAAGCUAUGGACAUACCCCACAUGGAUGUUGUCAAAUAAUUUCAGAAUUUUUUGAAAUGUCUGAUUAUUAUUAUUAUUUGGGUUGAUCUCACGAUCUCACCUAAAUGUGAGAUCUCAUACAAGUCUUCCCUGAUUGAGUCCAAUCAAAGCUCCUGUAAUCUGCAUCUGUAGCGAAUGCACACAACUAAUAACAUGAAAACCAUCUACUAAAUGGGAAACCGCUAAGGGUGUGUUUGGUUGCAGUAGUGAACAGUAGCUGCAUUGCAUACACAUCUCAAUCCAGUCUGGCUCUAGAAAAACAACCUCAUAUGCGACAUCUGCAAUUUGUUUGGUUGCCUGCAUAUGGACUUCCUGCAUUAGGGGAUCAACUUUGGCACAUUGUUUGGUUGCCUGCAUUGUCUUGACGCAUACAACUACAUGCUUUUUGGUUGCCCGCAUGGGGUAUGAUUAAGAGCUAGCACUUGCACUUAGCACACGGGGUUAAGAGCUAGCAGAGGAAGGGGGGGAAGAAAUGCAGUGCACGCCGGACCAUGGCAACUGCGGUGGACAGUGACCGUGGCGCCGUGUCUGACAUGACGAGCACGAAGUCAUGGGCGAGCGACCCUAUCGGCGAACUAGUUGGAGUGCUCGCGCAAAGACAGUGGAUAGAGGAGGAGAAAUGCAGUGCUCACGCCAUGGCAUCGUCAGUGUAGUAGGACGAGAGAGAGGAGCUGAGAUGAUCGACACCGGAAAUGACUGCAGUGUAGUAGGAUGAGAAAGAGGAGGCCGGGAGGAGACCAAGAUGAUCGACCCUGUUGGUGGCAGAGAACAGAGGAGAAGAACCCCGUCAGUGUGCGUGUCAUGGCGGCUUAACUACAGUAUGAUCAUGGAGAGAUGAACAACAGUGAUGAUGAUGCUACCACAACAAGACGCGAGAGAGGAGAUCGAGAGAAACCAUGUCGGCUAGAGGAAUAACUAAGCACUGUCUUAAAAUCACAACACACAUAUCCAUAUGUACAACCAUGAGAAAUAUGUAGAUCUUCUCGUCUACUAUCGUCGAAACAGAAAAUUUGCAACACGAAUGUUGUGUAGAACUGCGAGAUUAGGUUGCUGGUCAAAGGAAAGUUCAAACAAUGGAUCGUGCGCGACGAAUCUGAUAAAAUUCGUCCAAAACAGCUACAAACGGGAACAAGAAAUUGAGCAUGUACGGUCAACGAAACUACAAACCGAUCGCCUGAAUGGAACUGUAGCAUCGUUGUGCAUCUUUUUCGUGUAGAGCUUAGAAUCGAAGCACCGUUGUGUACAUUAGAGGGACAAGGGAGAGAGCAGAUUAGAGAGGAGGUUACUCGAGGUUGAAGAAGACACCACGUAAUCACCUUGCAUCCCUUAUGUUUCUCCUCAUGCAGGGGCCGCUCGUUGCGCUUCCGCUCGCCUGGCUCGAGAGAAACUGCAGUUUCCAGCGGGUCUGGCUCGGAGCUGCUUUAAAGUUCGUGUCACGCAGGCCGAACAGUAAAAGCAGACAAUCAAUCGGCCUGUUUACGUCCCGCACGAGUAAGGCUGGGCCUCUUGCAGGCAACCAAACACGUCCUAAGUACAUGAAUCACGCUGACCUACUUGCCAGGUGCCUUCUGAAUGUUCUGAAAGCUCAACUCGGAAGGAGUGAAUCCAACUCAUACUUGAGUGGGCAGAGCUCUGCCAUACAGCUUGGAGUGUGACUGUCACAACUCACAAGGCGCUUCCGCUAAUUAGCAGUGAUGGUCCAUACUUAUCAAAAUAUGUACACCUGGUGAGGGGCGUCGAAAGGGAGAUCUCAUUAGUUAGUUAAAACCGAUCACGAGCAAAACCAUACAUGCUACUCAUGUCCUCGCUUUUGAGCAUCAUUUUGAACGGUCGUGGCGAAACAGACGAGAUCGACGCAAAACACGGCGUAGCUAACAGCAUGUAGGGCAGAUGUGGCACGACAAAGCGACAACACAUACCAGUUACACUUGCACGUCAACUCUGCCGUGCCCCUUGGUUGUCACAUGGUCUCUAGGACGGCCGGAAGUCGACUAGAUCCAGUAUUCCACAUUUCGCCUGGUUGCCUUGGAUUUUGCAGUCUUCAAUGAUCACAUGCGGCCGUUAAUCCAUGUAUGAACAUGUAUAUGAGCACUUGUUACUUUUUUUACUGCGAGACUAUUCUUCCAUGGCAGAUUUAACGGCACAAUUUCUCUUCGUGGGCCUGAAAAAUGUUCUUACUGAAGUGCACACACUGAUCUGGUGGGCGAUGACUCUACAUAAUUAUGUACUGUGCUAUACUUGUUGUCUAGUACUCCCUACGUUCUGAAAACCAUGAUGAGUAAAUCGGAACGAAGGGAGUACUACAGUACGAUUCGUGUCAAAGCAUACACUCCUUGUCCUCGGACAAGUCACGAGAGGUGAGACAUUUCUCUACAGCUCAAGACAGAUCUUUACCACAGAGCUGUAAGAGUGACCGACUCCUUGCCUUGUCAGAAUCUUGUCUAGUAGUAGGAAUCGAUGCUGUAAUUUGUAAGGUUAUACACUAGUGGUUGAAUUAAUGACCGUACAUUCUACUCUCACGGCACACAUGCACGGCGUGUGGGUGCACGAUGUGCCGCUGCAAUCAUCGGAUCCGCGGUGAACGGGAGAAGACCCGUGCAUGCAUGCAUUCUUGGAACAGUAUUGUUCUUUUAUUCAUUUAUAUUUAUUUAUUAUCAUCUUCUUUUUCGGGUGAAAGAAAACCAUAUUCUUUUUUUCGGAAAACUUCCAAUCUUUUUUUUUGAACACAGUACAGACGCAAGCGCUCAUAUACACACGCACACACUCAUCCCUAUGAACGCACACACGCACACCCUAUCCCUAGGAGCACCUCCGAAAGACUGUGUCGGCAUAUCAUCUUGAAGUUUACGGAGUCAUCGUAGUCACUUCGUCGUCGACGAGAACGUCUCCUCCCAUUGAAUGCGCAUCGCCGGAAAUCCUGAAAUAAUUCCAGGAAUAAAUGCGAGCAUCAGGAUUUGAACCCUGAUGGGCUGGGGAUACCACAGUCUCUCUAACCAUCCAACCACAUGUUGGUUCGCCGGAAAACUUUCAAUCUAUUCAUCUUCAAUCAUGGCAGUACAAAGAAUAAUAAAGAUAAUAAAAAUUACAACCAUGUCCGUGGACCACCUAGUGACGACUACAAGCACUGGAGUGAGCCGAAAGCAUGCCGCUGUCAUCGCCCCUCCCUCACCGGAGCUGGGCAAACCUUGUUGUAGUAGACAGUCGGCAAGUCGUCGUGCUAAGGCUCCAAAGGACCAGCGCACCAGAGUAGUAACUAUCGCCGAUGAAGAAAGUCAUAGAUCAGAAGGAUCAAGCAUGUAAACACCUAAACGAAGACGAACGGAGACCGGAUCCAAAUAGAUCCACCGAAGACCAGUACCGAUCGAAUCCCGCAAGAUCCGACGGAGACAAACCUCCACACGCCCUCCGACGAUGAUAGACGCCGGGACGGGGAUAGAACGUGGGAGACAUUAUUCUUACUAAGGGACAUCGCCGCCGCCACACAGCCCAACGAAGACGAUGACUCUAACAAGAACGAGAAUGGUGUCCCUCCCGCCGGUGGGGGGCCGAGAUCCUUCGCACCAGGCCAUCGGAGAUGGGACGGACCUGCGGCGGUGCCGACGGGAGGAGAGGAGUUUUUCUUGUGCAAACCAUAUUCUUUCAGCAGAUGGAUUCUUCUGUAAUUUUGACAAGUGAGUGUUUUAGACGUACCUACUUGUAGCUGAUGAAAAAAGAAAAUUUGUACUCCAUCCAAUCCAAAAUAAAUGUCGCAGUUUUGAACUAAGGUUUAGUAUUAUUAACAUGAACAAUAAGAUGAAAACAAUCUUCACCUUCCUUUUACUAGUGCAAUAUAUGACUCGGGUUGCUCUAGGUGUUUUGCGGUUGUUAAAUAACCAGCGUGGAAUGAACGACAUGAAUCACACCCACACACCCAAGGACACUUGUACAAACCCACUUUGCUUGUGGUGUGAUCUUAUCCUACGUGCCAGCUGGCCUACGAGGCGAAAGAAACUAAAAGGCGCCUCGUCACAAGCUGGAUCGACAUGUUGGCCCCGAUCUUGGCCGCAUCCAAAAGGGGGCUCGAACAAACCACGCAUGGAAUUAUUGGGCUGCUCCUUUUGCGACGUACAAAACGUCUGGAAAAAGGUUUGCUAACCCCAACAACAAUCUGGACAUGCAUGGUGUUCGUACGCACGCACACACGGCACACCCACUUUGCCGAGAUCUUCCAAAACAACAAACUUCGGCUCAUUCUAUAUUGCCGUUAUAUUGCCGUUGUAGUGGGCUAUUGGGUUUUCCUCUUGCGUGCCAAAAAACAAACAUCGAUAUUAAGAGCAACUCCAACGCGCCGACCCAAACAAACAACGAUUUUGUUCAGAAAGUUUUUUUGGACCAUCAGAAAUCUUAGUAAACUUAAUAGGGAUGUUCUUCUGGUCCUUCAUCCACAUGUGCAUGCCCUAUAUAUCCGUGCGGCACGCUAGUCUCUAUUCUCUCCACCCUAGAACCACCUCCACAUUCACGCUGCUGGAUUAUGUGGAGGAAUUGGAUCAUCAUCUUCUUCAAGGACAUGGAGUUCCUUACCUCAAGUUAAUGUGAGCUUAGGUGAACAGUAAAACAAGAAAAAUAGGAAAAUAUUUUUAAAUAUGUAUUUUUUUGUAAAAAAAAUACACAUUGAUAUGUGUUUCACAUGCGUGUAAUUUUUACAGUGAAACCUCAUUCGUGGAUGUCUGAGCAAAGAAAAAUUGAUGCUCCAAAAAGACAAAUAUUAGUAGCAUUUUGAAGCAUUGAUUUUGUUUUUUCUCACACCUACACAAAUGUGAUUUCAUCGCAAAAAUUUACAUGCAUGUUAAAACACAUCAAUGUUUGUUGUAAAAUUAUUUAAACAAAAUCAUAUUCUUGUGGAUUUUUACUGUUCACCCAAGCUCGCAUGAGCUCGAGAUGAGAGGACUUUCGCAUCCUCAAUGGCCAAACGACUUCCCUCCCCCUCUCGCCAAAGGUUCCAUCCUCCUAUGGCAGAUCUCCCUGUCCCUCCCUCGCCCACCAAAGUGAUCAUUUGCCCGAACCAUAUGCACGCCUUACUUCGUUUUUCUCAAAACAUUCAGCAUAAAACAUCCUAACACAUUUUAUAAGAGAGAAAAAAAACAAAGCAUCGUGUGCCCGUUUAGGCAUGAUAUCCCAUUGUCGUCAGCGCUGUCAAUGAGUCUGAAAUAAUCCACACUUGAAAGUCACUUUUGAUAAAAGUCAUACAACGUUAGUAGUCCAUCCGUCUGUCGCGGAAAUGGAUAAAAAUAAACGUAUCUAGAACUAAAAUACGUUUAAAUACAUCCAUUUCUCCUCCGAUAAGUAAUUCCGGACGGCGGGAGUACAUUUCACGAGGAGGAAAAAAAAAGACAGCCUGGCAGCAUUUUCUCAUACCCUGCAUGCGCUUACACGCAAAAUGGCCCUGCAUCACGAGCUCCUCCCAGCGGCGAGAAAAGGCCAGAAUGACUUUUGAUUAGUAGGAGUAGUACACUUUGCAUGGCAUAACGCUCCAAGGGUCACAGGACGAUUCCUUCCAUGGGCAGUCCAGGCCAGUCCAGGACGCAACGCAGCAGAUCCACAGGUCGAGUACGUAGAUAUGGAAGGGAAUGGGCAACAGUUAGGCCUUGUUUGGACACGGAGGGAGAAAUCUCCAGAAAAAAGACGCCCUGGGUGGAAUAAUCUUGGCAAAACAAAAUACCUGUGGGAAAUUCAUGCGGCCCUUUGGUGUGUGCUUGGGAAGGCUGAGGAGAUCAGCGCAGGAGCCAGGAGGUAGGCGCCAUCGCAUUUUAGCAGAGGAGGUCGCAAGGCGGAGUUUUAAGACUCUUCGUGAGAAGGACGGGGAGAAUUCUCCUGACCUGUCGAGGCGAUGGUUUCGUACGCAGGAAGAAAAUGCCUCCCCAGCUUAGCACCAAAUGGGCCUCCCAUAAAACCGGGCCGAUAUUUUCUCGUGGUAUUCCCACCCAGGGAAAUGACGGGGAUCCCGGGAGGGUCUCUCGGAACCAAACGAGGCCUUACUGAUGCUAGUUUACUAUUUCCUCCGUUUAAAAUUAUUUGUCGCGAAAAUGGAUGUAUUUAAAACUAAAAUACAUCUAGAUACAUUUAUUUCUUUGACAAAUAAUUUCGAAGGAAGGGAGUAGUAGUAGAUCGAGCAACGACGCGUACUGCCAGCGCUUCUUGUGCUCGCCUGCUUCCAGAACCCACCCCGUGCGUACACGCACGGGAAUAAAUCAGUCACAUUGCCCAUGUCGAUGAAGCGGAUGUUUUCCAUCUCGUGGCUGCAUGCAUGGCAACCUGCAUCACAUGCACGCAUCAUGAAUGCAUUCAGAAUCCUGCACCGCACUGCACUGCGGAGUAAUACCGGAAGCUCUGGAAACAAGUGCUAGUAAGUGCAGAUUGUUGCAUGAGUUUCCGGCGAUCCCGAAGGAAGGAGCGGCGUGGUGGACUGAAAUUGGUGCACGUCGCCCGCCGAAAAUGCGCGUAGAGAGAUCGACUAGGCUAUAGGCACGCACGCUCGUGACGCAUAGACUUUAGGGAAGCAAUUGUCCGACCCGAAUCCGAUGCCGUGAGGAGGAGGGGCAGCGAACAGCGAUGGAAUGGAAAUGGAACUAUCGGUCUACCACACACAUCAUCAAUUAUCAGUACCGAGACUUGAACCUCACCACGCAGCAGCAUGGGGAAUGCGUACAGGGGAGAACAAGGGGAUGACAGCCCGGUGACACGCGGGGCAGACCUUCCAUUCCAUGCAACGCUACCAUGUAGAGUAAAACAAAGCUGGGCCAUGCAUGAUGUUCUCUCAAGACCACAUAUUGUUGUUUUUUCAGAAAGAAAAGCUUCAAAGUUAGGCCCGAGUUCCAUUGCUGUGAGGGCAUCUCCAAUGGUGGAUUCCUACCCCGCCUUUGUAUGUCUGGACAGAACAGUUCAGACACCUUUAGGCCUUGAGCACGGCCACAUAUAUUGGGUCGGAUAUGUGCCGACGUUCGAAAUCGCCGUGUUCGACCCCAAAUUAAGGGGUGGAGUAGGGGAUUCCGGACAUUCUGCCACGUUGGUCUGACAACCCGGCCCCACUUGCUCUUUAGCCGGAUCUCACCUCUCACUCUCACUCUACUCUCCGCCUCUCUUGAAACCCUAGCCGCGUCGCGCUGCUUUUGGUCAUUGCCCCGUCGCGAUGGGCAAGAAGAUGACGCCGGAAGAGCUCGCCCGCAACCGCAUGAUGUGGUACCACUCAACGGUAUUGUAGCGCCACCACGAUGACGGAUCCGGUGGCAGAGGGAGCUCAGGCUACAAUCCAUCGUGGCGCGGAGACACGUCGCGGCCGUGCGCGCAAGGCGGUGGAGGUGGAGCGAGUGCGACAUUGCGGCUUGGGCGGCUUCCGCAACUAGCGCGACGGCGAUGAUGCUUUCAUUCCAGCUUCCGCAACUAGCGCAACGACGACGAUGCUUUCAUUGGUCUAGAAAGUUAUGCCUAUAAGGUCACUGCUCACUAUUUAGUUUAGUUUAGUUAUAUGUUAGGCAACCCUAGGCGACUCCCUAGGCGAUCCCUGGGAUGCCGCCGGCGGCCUGCCGGUCCCUUGAUCGGCGGGUGGGAGGCCGGUUCUGGGCGUUAGCCGGUGAGGGAGACGAGGGGGAAGGCAGUGAGGAGGAAGAUGCAUUGCCGUCCACCCCGUCCAUGGCGGUUCCGCCGAGUUCACUGGAGUUGGAUGGAACGCCAUUAUCGUUGAUUUGCGAUCUAUUGAAUCAGGGGUACGACGAAGAUGAUUUGCAACAGGUUGUUGAGUCCUUGAUGCCAGCUUUCGAUCCGGCGAGGGAUGGCCUGGCAGCAGCUAAUCACAAGGAGGUGAUCCAGCGGAUAGUGCUUCGCCGGCUUUCGUAGCGGCCUUGGAAGGGUCCGAUGCCCAAGGUAAGAUUGCCAGAGUUGACAUUUGGUGAUUUUCUAACCCCAGGGGCUUGGCUGCAGGUUCACCGGCGGCGGAAGAAGGGGCGGCGGCCGACGGUGGCACCAGUGACAGAGGUGAGCCAGAUCUCGAUUCGGGAGGCGAGGCAGGAACAUUUGAAUUUGCUCCUGGGCUGUUGUGGGCCGAUUUCGGGGGAGAUCCAGGUGGGCUCAGGGCAUGCGGCCCAGCCUUUUUCUUCUGAGCAUGCAGCUCAGGUGGUGGUGGAUGGGUUGUGCAAGUUGCUGAACGCGACCCAACCCAGCAUGGCCAAGUUUAGGGUUCGACCGUCGAGGGCAAAGCCUGGCUUUCGUUCCUGCGGGAUUAGAAGGGCAUUGCGGGUGCGAGCGGACGCGCCACCCAUCGACAGAACCUCCUUUGCCGCGGUGCUCAUGGCGGGGAGGAGAUCGGAUCAGGCUGCGACUGCUGGUUCUUUGGGAUCGGGACUGGGCCGGUCUGCUUCGGCCGUCAAUGGAGGGCGUGGCGGGGCCCUUGGGUCGAACAGCAGCAGCGACCGCAGCGGAGCUACUGCUCGUGGAGGUUUUGCGGGGAGAGAUGGCGGGGCUGGCUACGGUUGGGCCGCCGGAGGUGGCGGUGGAACGCACUAUGGUCGCGGCGGCUACGGCAACUCCGGGACCGGCGAUGGUCGCGGAGUGGCGGGCGAAGGUGGCUUCAGCGCGCCGGUGCACCAGUUCGAUGGGGAGGGUCGAGGAGCAUCGGCCGGCGCCGGGCGUGGCGAUGCCGAUGGACGUGCUUUCCACGCCCCGACUGGAGGUUUCGUCCAAGGGCCGGCGGGUACUCAACAAUAUGUGCCUCGCCGGGGAGGUUUCUUCAGAGGCGGGCGUGGUGGUACGGGUAGAUUUGGACGGAACGGACCCCGUGCUCCGCGUCGAGACCCACCACCUCGCCGUGACAUGACGCAGCUUACUGAGAAUACAAAGUCGGCGGAGGACAAUGCGGUUGCCUCGACUUCGGUGGCUGUCGCACCGGUAGCGAAGCCGCUUACUGCGGAGGCAGUUGCGGUGGUUAAAAGGACCACGAUGUCGCCUAGAGGGGGGGUGAAUAGGCGUUUUAAAAUCAUAAACGGAUUUGGCUAUAUCCUAAUGCGGAAAUAAACUAAGAGGAUACUUUUCAAGCACAAAUCCUAAAUAUAUCAGGCUAACUAAGUGCACCAACAACUUAGGAUAAACAAGAUGAGAACAACGAGGAUAUGAGUAAGCACAAGUAAGUUACACAAACUUACUCAAUGUAUCACAAGAUAUAUAAAUGAAUAAUACACACAACCACAAGUAAGCAAUACAGGCUUACACAAGUUAUGUCACAAGAUAUGGAAAUGAAUGUUACAAGCUAGCAAUUCACACUAAGCACACGAUAGAACAAUAGUAGCAAGUAUGAAUUGCGGACUAUAAAGUGUUGGCCUAGAUAAUCUCUAUGAUAUGGUAACCAACACAAUAUAAUGAGGACAACAAGAUAUAGUGAAUGCAAGGUUAAGAGACCAAAGUAAACCACAAGUAGUGGCUAGGGUUAGAAUUAACCGAAGACACGGAGACGAGGAUGUAUCCCGAUGUUCACUUCCUUGGAGGGAAGCUAGUCACCGUUAGAGAGGUGGAUGUUACCACGAAGGCACACCAACGCCACGAAGGCUCACCCUAUUCUCCUUGAGAUAUCACCACGAAGGCGAUUCUCAACCACUAGUGGUAGACCUUGAGGCGGCCUCCAAACCUUCACAAACUUUCCGGGGGACAAAUCACAAGUUGAUUCCUCACCGGAGCACUCCUACCGCCUAGGAGUCUCCAACCUCCAAGAGUAACAAGAUCAAGGGGGAAAUGCUCAAGACUUGCUCAAAUCACGAAUUGCUUUGGUCACAAGAGGGAGAGGGAGAGGAUCUAUCUUUUGAUUGGAACAACUCUCAAGAACACUCACUAAUCUCUCCGGGAUCUAAGAUUUGGUGUAGGAGAAGUGAGAGGGAGCCACUUGUGUUCUUGGGACGAUUUGGGAUGAAGUGCUCAACCCUCCCCCGGAGUGGGAGAGGGAUAUUUAUACCCCCAAAGAAAAUAGAGCCGUUUCCCGCAGUUGUUGACCUGCCCGGAUGAUCUGGACGCAUACCCGGAUGAUCCGGGCAAUGCCCGGAUGAUCCAGGAAGGUCAAUAUACAAUGUGGUGAAGUAGAUACCCGGAUGUCCGGGGACAUAGCCGGAUGAUCCGGGCAAUUCUCGGAUGAUCCGGGUGGGUAGCCGGAUGAUCCGGCUAGCGGAAUAAGCUUCUGUGAUGAAUUUUACGAAUAACCCGGAUGAUCCGGGCAGGAACCCGGAUGAUAUGGGAGAGGACCCGGAUGAUCCGGCCAAACCAAACUGAUGCAGCCUAGAAACUGAAACAGGCACAACUUUUACAUCCGGACUCCGAUUUUGAUGAUCUUGGGCUCGUUUUGAAGCUAUGAAAAAAACCCAGGUCCUCACAUAGAGAACCACCCAAGAUGAACCAAAAUGGAGGAUGCAAAAUAUGCAAAGGUUUUAUCAUGUAUUUGGGUAACCUAUUUGGCUUUGGAUUUUCUUUGGUAUAUAGGAUAUUAGUGGAAUUGUGUAGAGAAGAUGUUGACUUGAGCAAAUCUAUCACGAACCCCUUUGAUCCCCUCUUAAUAGUGCGGGAUCCCUAUAACUCAAGAAUCAUAAAAGGUCUACACUACAUAGCUAUCAAGAAUCCAUUCUUGAGUGUAUGUGUUCCUUCGGUGUUCAUCACUCCACAACACUAACGUCGAAGGAACUAAUACCUUUGACUCGAGCCUUUCACUUGAGCUUGAAGUUGAAGUUUCUUCUUGGAGCAAGUUGAAUGGCAAGACAUUGGUGAAGUCUUCAAGUAUCUCCCCCAUACACAAUGUGGGAAGCUUUGCUUUGUAUUUAUCUUCAUGUGUCCAUCAUGUGAUCAUCCACAAGCUUCAAGCAUGUAAUCCUUCGGGAUAGUUAUCUUGAACUUGCCCUUGUCAACCAUGAUCAUCAACACUUGAUGUCAUCCUCUCAUAGACACUUGAAAUCUCUCUCUCGAUGCGAGCCCAUGAGAAUCUCCUCUCAAAAACAUAGGCAACACAUAGUAUGGGUUAGUACACAAAGCGCAAUUGACAAAUUCUUACCAUACCACAAGAUCUCACGUGGCACAUGAUUUGCGCUUGUGUGUUGACCAUCUUUGAAUUCAAUCUUCGAUCUUCAUCUUGGUCAACCUUAAUCUUUGCUCCAUGAUUAAUCUUGAUGCACAACUACAUGUAUAUGGCAUUCAUUCCGAAUCCAUUCAAUAUCCUUCUUGCAUCACCCAUGGAACAAACCUUCCUAUAUAACUUGAUGUCAUUGUUUCUUCAUAGGAAUUGUCAUUCAUUAUCAAAUCUCAAUGCAUAUAUAGAUGUUGAUGGAUUUCAUCCACCAAUUCAUCCAAUAUUCUUCAUGCAUUGCAAAUGGAACUUUCCUUCAAAUGUAUAUCUCAGUGCAAGCAUUAGUCCAUUAGGAUUGUCAUUUAAUUACCAAAACCACACAUGGGGACUACAUGUACUUUCAAUCUCCCCCAUUUUGGUAAUUGAUGACAAUCUCAACAAGAGGGUUUAUAUAAUGAAUUUUUCGACAAGCAUGAAAUUUAUCCAAAGAUAAAUUGUAUACUUGGGAUGGUUGUAGUAUCAUCAAUACACUACACAAGCAUUUGAUGAUAGUACACCCAUAGUAUAUAGAGUAAACUCCCCCAUAAUAUAUGAAUUUGUGAAUGAACUUUGAAUGUCAUUGCAUAUAUUGGUUGACAUAAACUAGGAGAAGAUUUCUCUAUAUACAAGACUCAUCCAUGCAAUAAGAAUAUAUAACAAGGGUAGAUAUGCAUGAGUGACAACAAGAACUAGAAAAGAUAUUUAUCUUAAACCCUCUAAACUUCUCCCCCAUUGGCAACAAAUGCCAAAAUGGAAGACAAAACAUCUAGCAGACCAAUAUAGUAUGAGUUCCUCCUUGAUGUGUGCAUAUAACAAAAUGUGAGUGAAAACAAAUGCACAUAUUCAAUGAUGAACAAUUAAAGGAGCUCAAAAUCUAUAGAAUGCAAUCAGAUACGAAGAUAUGAACUUUUUCAUGUAUAAAAAUUUCUAAGUGGCCUAUAAUAAUCAUGAUAUGUAUCCACAAAGAAACUCGUAUACACAAAAAGAAAGGUUGCAAUUGAUAAGAACAUGAUAUCCAUAAGUGAAUCCACUAUUAUACAACUUGAGCCUAGUCAUAAUAGCAAGGCACAUGGCACAAAGCACAUGGCACAAAUUGAUCUCAUUUGCAUAACACAAAGUGAAGCAAGCAAUCAAAAGAUCCAAUGAGCCAAAAGGAUAAAUGAAUACUACGAUUUGGGAAGAGGAGUGUUCUAAGGAAAGUAGAGAAGCUCCCCAUGAUUUGGGCACUAUUUAGAAUUUUUGUAUUUGGAUACAAGUGCACAAAAUAGGAUCAUCACUCCCCCAAAAUCAAUAGGAACACAAAACAAUUGCAAGCAAGCAUAGAUAAGAAAAGAAGCCUAGCAUUUGCAACAAACAUAUGGUUGAGCAACAUAUAAAUGAGGCAACCUAAGAAUAGGCACAACCAAAAUGAUAUGUGUGAGUCACGUCAAAGCACUUGAGAAGACCAGUAUAAGGAUGAGAAUUAAGCAUCAACAUAGUCUUGAGUAAAUGAGAUACAAGGUGCAAGACAUGUCCUUCCCACACACACGAAAUUAAGAAGGUCAGACACACAUCAAGCAAAUGGAUUCACAAGCUCACUAGUAGAAAAUUAAAAAUCAAAGCUUGUGACAACCCAUGAUGAAGAUAGGAAAUAAUAGGCUUGUCAAGACAAGCACGAGGACAACAAUCUUCACCAAACAUGAGUGCACUAAGAUGCAAAGAGGUAAGACACGCACUCAUACAACAAAUGCUUCCACGGAGCCACCAAAGAUAUAAAAGAGAAUGAAACGGUGGACAUGAAAGAAUAGGGAUAUCAACUAGGGAUGUAACUUGGCUCACAUGUAUAAGAUUCUAGGUAGAUGACAAUCAUGAUGAUAUACAUCCACAAAGAAGGAUGUACACAUGAAAUAGUUACAAAAGGAAAGAAUAAGAUAUCCAAACGGGAGACAGAAAAUAUAACAAUGAGAUCUUUGCUUGAAAGUAUAGCACAUGGCUUAAUGUAAUCUUAUCGUAUAUUAAUGAACUCUAAACACACAAUCAUCAAAGACAUCACAACUAGCAACAAGAGAUCAUUGUUGCGAUUCUUUGAGAAAGGAAACAAGUAUGACAAGAACGAGUCAAGAAAUUCAUGCCAUGAUGCAACCUACACAAGGUUGAAUGCAAGAAGUGUAUGCAUGAAGUAGAUACUUGUUACCGUGAUAGCAUUGGAAUGAUGUAGUAGGUAAUGGUUCGAGCUUGGCUCUAAUUUCCUCAUAGUGCCAGCACUUUCAUGAACAAGCCAAGCACCCAAUGCUUCUCAAAUGUACCUAAAACAAUUUAAGUACAAUAUGGUCCCCAAACUUAUUGGGUCCAAAGUAGUUAGCAUAACUACAAAACAUAGGGUAUCAUCACUUAAAUAUGUGCAUAUCGAUAUGAAUUUGAAUAUCAUGCACAUCUUAGCUAUUAAUAAUUUGAUGGAUUUACCAUAUAUAUAUUGGAUCAAAUAAAGCAAACAAGGCAUGCGAAUUUACGCAUAGUAAAUACACAUGCACAAGCCUCCCAAAAUCCAGGGAGAUACAAAUUGGACAAAUGAACACAUAACCGUUAAUACUUCCAAUAACAUCACUAGUCAUUCAUGUUGUCCAAAAUGGCUCAAAGUGACAAAUCAACAUAUGAUAGCACACAAAGUUCAACAUAUGAACCAAGGAAAAAACAAUGAGCAUAUAAGAUAUGCAUUGCACACAUACUCAUGGGAAUAUCUCACUCAAGUAGAUAUAGGACACUAUAAACAAUGAGAUAACAAACUACCAUAACUCCAUACAAACUAAUAAGAUGAACUCGAACAAAAUGGUGUUUCAAUUUGACAUUUGGUGUAGAAACCAAAUAAGUACAUGAUCAUCUAUACUAACACAAGCAUACCAUGAGAGUUUAGAAAUAAACACAAUGCUUGGAUAGCAUAUUAUUAACAUUCCAAUUAGAUAGAUCAUCAUGCAAAGCAACAAUUAGAAUGGAUCUAUUCAAAUGAUUUUCCAAAUACGAUUUUUUUAAGAUAACCAUGGGCAAAACCGCACAAGAAUACCAUACUCAAACAAAACAUUGCAUGCCACAGAGAUAUAAGAUAAUCUCAAAUAUAAAUUCUAAGUGGCAAACUGACAAACCUCUAUUGUUAAUGUUCACACGAGAAGUGAUAUGUACAAAGUAUAUCACUCCCCCAUAAUGUGAUAAUCCAUGUAUUAUCCAUAAGAGGCAAAUGAAACCCAACUAAGGAUAAUUAAUGGAUGAGGAUUUGAGUUUCAAAUGAACUUUACAUACCACAUAGUAACUAGAUAAUAUUGCACUAACAAUACUAGGUGGUAUCCUACAUAUAUACAUAUUUAAGGUUUGUGAUAUGCGUAAAUCAUAGCACUCCCCCAUAAUGUGAUGAUCCAUUAAUAUCUCAAAAACACCAAUGAAGAUUCAACUAAUGAAGCAAUAAAGGCUUGAAACCACACACGCACAAAUAUAUGAAGUGCAUUGUGACCUACACAUGCUAGAUAACACAAAUCAAGCAUACUAGGAAGCACAACUCUAAAAGCACAUGCUAGGUACAAAACCUAAACAUGCAAGGGACACAGUAACUUUCAAUGUAAACAAUGCAAGUACAAGUUACCGCAAAGAGGAGCAUUGGAUUGAUAGAUAUGAUGAUAAUCCACUUGACUUGGCAUUAACCAUAACAUAUGGUGAAAAUAGUUUUUCUUCAUGAAGUAGCCAAGUCUCCAAUGCCCUCCACACACGUAUUGAUCAAGUUUGUGCUUGAUGGUCCCCAACCAAGUUGGGUCCUAAGAAGUUAGUAACAAUAGGCUUGGCAACCCAAAUGGUCUUGUCCACUUUCAAACUUCUUUGGGAACCCACAAACUUGGCAAACACAUUGCCAACAAUAUCCUUCUUUAGCGAAUAAUGAUUAUUGACUAUAGGAGGCUUAGAUAUGUUACCGUUGGAACAAGAUGAAGCUAUGUGUCCCUUCUUAUGGCAAAUAUAGCAACAUGUGCUCCCCUUUCUCUUCUUCUUUACCUUUUCAACUUGGAGAGCAUUAUCUUGGUUAGGCAUGGGAAGAGGCCUUUCAUUAUCUUGAUAUUGAACUUGAGGCCACUUCCCUUGAUGCUUCACACUUGAAGCCUUCUUCUUCAAUGGACAAGAUCUCACAUGGUGUCCAACAUUCUUGCACUUGAAGCAAAUAAUGUUGGCCGAAUUCUUGACUUGAUCUCGUCCCUUCUUCUUGUUCUUGGACUUCUUCUUGUUGGAGAUGAAAUCAAGUCCAAUUUUGUCUUGAGGGUCCUUUUUGCACACUCAAGAUAUUAUCACAAUAUUUUUCCAAGUCUUUCUUCAAACUGGUGACUUGGGCCUUGAGCUCUUUAUUUUCCUCUACAAGGUUAGUAUUAACAAAAGAACUAGAGGAAGUAGAAACUUCAUUGUUAGAGCAACAAGGCAUGGUGAGAAAUUCAUCACAAGAUGUACCAAUAUCAUGUAGAGAGGAAUUGCAAGGACUAGCACAUGGCAAUAAGGCAUUUCGAGUAGAAGAUGUGCUAAUAUCCACAAGAGACUCACACGAUUUUACCUUGGUCCACAUAGCCUCAUGAGCUAACUUUAGCCCAUCAUGAGAUAUUAUAAGAUCCUCAUGAGUGCCCGAGAGCUUUUCAUAACUUUCUUCCAAUUUCCCACAGUUGCUAGUUAGCAAAUCAAGUUGAGUCCUUAGGUCAAUAUUUUCUUUUAAUAUCGAUGCUUCACACAAGAUAGAGUUAGUAGCACAAGCAUCAUUAUCAAUAUGAGAGGAGCAUGUAGAAGCUAGGGACUCCGCAUGAGUAGCUUGAAGUUCCUCAUGAGACUUAGAGAGUUUGAUGAGCUCUCCUUUGACCUUCUUGUAGUCAAGGUCAAGGGGCUCAAAAUCCUCUUUAAGUUUACAAUGCAUAACUUCAAUCUCUUCUUUUAAAGACCUCAAGUCACUAAGACAUUGAUGAGCCAUAGCAAGUUCAUGUUCAAGUUAUUCACUUUUUGCUUGCUCGUAAAGAAAUAAGUCAUUACGUUUUUGAAAGCAAGCAAGAACAUCUUGGAACCUUUUAUAAGUGUUAUUUUUAGCUCUACGAAGAUUUUUCCCAAUCUCAUAGAGAUUUUGGGUCAAGACUUCAUCAUCUUCCUCAUUACAACUAUCAUCAUUGUCACUAAGAGAAGAUGAUACCUCGUCAUUACCUCUUGCCAUGAGGCACAUGUGAACACAAGGGGUUGAUGAUGAUUCUUUUGGAGAAGAGGGUUCUUCAUCAACCAAGCAUGACUCAUUUUUCUUGAUUUCCUCUACAUGGUUAGUUUCACAAAUAGAACUAGAGGGAAUCACGAUAUUUCUAUCAUGGCAACAUGGGAGAUCAAGCAUAUCAUCACAAAUGAGCUUAACACCAUCAUUACAGGAUAUUUCUUCACUCACCAUGUCAUUACCUUGUGGUAUGCCACAUGUUGGUGAAGUGAAAGAUGUUGGGGUAUGCAAGUAAUCGGAGGUGGAAGCAAUAGAGAGCUCUUCAUGAUUUAAAAAUGUGGAGAACUCCUCCAUUAACUCCCCAAAAAGAAUAUUGUCUUCAUGAAGAUUGGACCCACCAUAUAUAUCUUCAAUUUUGGUCCAAGCAUCAUGAGCCAACAAACAAGACGAGAUUGACUUGAACACCUCGAAGGUUAUAGCUUGGUGAAUGAAACUUAAAGCUUCACAAUCAAGAUGCAUAUCAUCAAGUGAUGGAGAUUGUCCAUCCUUUAGAUUUGAAUUCCCUACAACCACAAUCCGCAAAGCAUUUGGACCCAUGGCCCGAAAGUGACAAAGCAUGCGUAAUCUCCACAUAAUGUAAUUUGUGCCAUUAAAACAAAAUGUGUCAUCGUGCACUAGUUCACUAGUCGACAUCGUUACUCUCUAGGCGGUUAAGCCUAAUAAGGAGAGACCUAGCUCUGAUACCAAUUGAAAGGACCACGAUGUCGCCUAGAGGGGGGGGGGGUGAAUAGGCGUUUUAAAAUCUUAUACGGAUUUGGCUAUAUCCUAAUGCGGAAAUAAACUAAGAGGAUACUUUUCAAGCACAAAUCCUAAAUAUACCAGGCUAACUAAGUGCACCAACAACUUAGGAUAAACAAGAUGAGAACAACGAGGAUAUGAGUAAGCACAAGUAAGUUACACAAACUUACUCAAUGUAUAUCACAAGAUAUAUAAAUGAAUAAUACACACAACCACAAGUAAGCAAUACAGGCUUACACAAGUUAUGUCACAAGAUAUGGAAAUGAAUGUUACAAGCUAGCAAUUCACACUAAGCACACGAUAGAACAAUAGUAGCAAGUAUGAAUUGCGGACUAUAAAGUGUUGGCCUAGAUAAUCUCUAUGAUAUGGUAACCAACACAAUAUAAUGAGGACAACAAGAUAUAGUGAAUGCAAGGUCAAGAGACCAAAGUAAACCACAAGUAGUGGCUAGGGUUAGAAUUAACCGAAGACAUGGAGACGAGGAUGUAUCCCGAUGUUCACUUCCUUGGAGGGAAGCUAGUCACCGUUAGAGAGGUGGAUGUUACCACGAAGGCACACCAACGCCACGAAGGCUCACCCUAUUCUCCUUGAGAUAUCACCACGAAGGCGAUUCUCAACCACUAGUGGUAGACCUUGAGGCGGCCUCCAAACCUUCACAAACUUUCCGGGGGACAAAUCACAAGUUGAUUCCUCACCGGAGCACUCCUAUCGCCUAGGAGUCUCCAACCUCCAAGAGUAACAAGAUCAAGGGGGAAAUGCUCAAGACUUGCUCAAAUCACGAAUUGCUUUGGUCACAAGAGGGAGAGGGAGAGGAUCUAUCUUUUGAUUGGAACAACUCUCAAGAACACUCACUAAUCUCUCCGGGAUCUAAGAUUUGGUGUAGGAGAAGUGAGAGGGAGCCACUUGUGUUCUUGGGACGAUUUGGGAUGAAGUGCUCAACCCUCCCCCGGAGUGGGAGAGGGAUAUUUAUACCCCCAAAGAAAAUAGAGCCGUUUCCCGCAGUUGUUGACCUGCCCGGAUGAUCUGGACGCAUACCCGGAUGAUCCGGGCAAUGCCCGGAUGAUCCGGGAAGGUCAAUAUACAAUGUGGUGAAGUAGAUACCCGGAUGUCCGGGGACAUAGCCGGAUGAUCCGGGCAAUUCCCGGAUGAUCCGGGUGGGUAGCCGGAUGAUCCGGCUAGCGGAAUAAGCUUCUGUGAUGAAUUUUACGAAUAACCCGGAUGAUCCGGGCAGGAACCCGGAUGAUAUGGGAGAGGACCCGGAUGAUCCGGCCAAACCAAACUGCUGCAGCCUAGAAACUGAAAUAGGCACAACUUUUACAUCCGGACUCCGAUUUUGAUGAUCUUGGGCUCGUUUUGAAGCUAUGAAAAAAACCCAGGUCCUCACAUAGAGAACCACCCAAGAUGAACCAAAAUGGAGGAUGCAAAAUAUGCAAAGGUUUUAUCAUGUAUUUGGGUAACCUAUUUGGCUUUGGAUUUUCUUUGGUAUAUAGGAUAUGAGUGGAAUUGUGUAGAGAAGAUGUUGACUUGAGCAAAUCUAUCACGAACCCCUUUGAUCCCCUCUUAAUAGUGCGGGAUCCCUAUAACUCAAGAAUCAUAAAAGGUCUACACUACAUAGCUAUCAAGAAUCCAUUCUUGAGUGUAUGUGUUCCUUCGGUGUUCAUCACUCCACAACACUAACGUUGAAGGAACUAAUACCUUUGACUCGAGCCUUUCACUUGAGCUUGAAGUUGAAGUUUCUUCUUGGAUCAAGUUGAAUGGCAAGACAUUGGUGAAGUCUUCAAGUAUCUCCCCCAUACACAAUGUGGGAAGCUUUGCUUUGUAUUUAUCUUCAUGUGUCCAUCAUGUGAUCAUCCACAAGCUUCAAGCAUGUAAUACUUCGGGAUAGUUAUCUUGAACUUGCCCUUGUCAACCAUGAUCAUCAACACUUGAUGUCAUCCUCUCAUAGACACUUGAAAUCUCUCUCUCGAUGCGAGCCCAUGAGAAUCUCCUCUCAAAAACAUAGGCAACACAUAGUAUGGGUUAGUACACAAAGCGCAAUUGACAAAUUCUUACCAUACCACAAGAUCUCACGUGGCACAUGAUUUGCGCUUGUGUGUUGACCAUCUUUGAAUUCAAUCUUCGAUCUUCAUCUUGGUCAACCUUAAUCUUUGCUCCAUGAUUAAUCUUGAUGCACAACUACAUGUAUAUGGCAUUCAUUCCGAAUCCAUUCAAUAUCCUUCUUGCAUCACCCAUGGAACAAACCUUCCUAUAUAACUUGAUGUCAUUGUUUCUUCAUAGGAAUUGUCAUUCAUUAUCAAAUCUCAAUGCAUAUAUAGAUGUUGAUGGAUUUCAUCCACCAAUUCAUCCAAUAUUCUUCAUGCAUUGCAAAUGGAACUUUCCUUCAAAUGUAUAUCUCAGUGCAAGCAUUAGUCCAUUAGGAUUGUCAUUUAAUUACCAAAACCACACAUGGGGACUACAUGUACUUUCAGUGGUUCGGUAUCUAGCGAAUGUGGUUGUUCCGGCUGUGCCGACGCCUGUGGAGGAUGCUUCUGACAAAGGUGAUAAUAAUAAGAUGAGAAAAGGUCAGCGCAAGAGGGAGAAAACGUAUUGUUUCCGUUGUGGCGAACCAGGGCACUAUGCGGCAGGUUGUACGACUGAGCUAUGUGAUAUCUGCUUGAGACCGAAACAUGAGGCAGGUUGCCCACUUUUGUCAGCUCCUAAGCCGGUGGUGAAUUUUUAUGGGGUGUGUGAUGAAAAACUUAUGUUCUUUGAGACACCUACGAUGAGAUCCUGUAGACCACGGCUUGAGAAUGCUAGAACUGGAAUCAUUAGAGUGACUAAGGGCAAUCUUUCAGAGGACCAAGUGAUUUUGCAACUAAAGAGAUUGGUUUCUAGUACGUUUUAGUGGGCGCUUAUUCGGAUUGAUGAGACUACGUUUAAGGUUGAUUAUCCUACAAAGUUUGAUCUAGACAAGAUUAAUGAGUUUGGCAUGUGUAAAGUUCCUAGAAGUGCUUGUAUUCUUGAGUUUGAUGAGUGGAAGCGCAAUGAGCCGGUGGGAGUGCCGCUUGCUCAGAUUUGGGUCAGAUUCUGUGGGCUUCCUUCGGAACCGCUGAAUGAUUUCUUGGAGACUUGGAGCAUGGGAUCUCUUAUUGGAAAGACUCUGGAGGUCGAUAUGCCUUUCACGCGCAUGCAUGGCAUUGCACGUAUGUGAGUGGGAGUUUUGGAUGUGGAUGCGGUUCCGUGCUUCUUAGGUUAGGUUUAUGAGGGUAUGAGCUAUGACCUGAGAAUUGAGAUGGAGGGGGUUCCGAUGUUACAGGAUGCUGACAAUGCCAUGGGUACUGAUGGUGGGACUGAUGGUGGGGAAGGCAUGCAUGAUGAUCUCAUGGACCAUGAUCAGCAUGUUAACCAGUCUGCGACUUCCGGAGGGCAGGGUCAGGUAUCUGAGGCCCUAGUGGGCAAGACCUCCUCCACGGCGCCCAUGGCGGGGCUUUGCCGUGACAUGCUUGAUGUGACUGUGACACCAUCUGGGAUUCUCAGAGUUGAUCUGGACGAUGAGGACCUUACCCCUAUGACUCGCGACCCCAUGUCGGCGCAUACGGCAGGACUUCGGUUUGGGUCCUUUGGUGCGGUCUCGGCGCCUGGGCGCCUGUGGGGGGAUCGGGUGGACAGAGAUGACCCUGUUGAGCAGGAAUUACCCGCUCUAUCUCCAGUACGGUGCUCUUUCUCUGAGGGUGGGGACGAUUUGGUGGCGCCGAGGUCACAUAGGGGGAGCGACUCUAGGCAGGCGGCCUCAGUCCCUCCCUCGUCGGUGGAGUUCACAGACAUUUUGCAUCAGCAUGAUACUCCUGCACCGCAACGACAGCAGGAGGCGAAUGUUAUGGUGGCGGGGUUUGGGCCUUCUUCCCUUCCGGAUCCACGGGGAGACACGACGUAUCCACAGUUGUCGCAGGAGGUGACGACUGUGGAGGCGCUUUCUGUUCAAGCGGCUCAGGAACUGAGGCCGGAGGUGGCUGAUCCAGUGGCACCUUCCGGUCAGGGGAUGGACAUUUCUAUCCCAGAGGUAGUGGCCUUUGGGGGUAUCCCUGAUCCGGCGUUGGAUGAGAGGCGGUCCAGCCGACGUAUUCAGGGGCAGCCGGAUGCGGAUGAGUUUCAGCUCGUACGUGCCAUGACAUUGGCCAAGAUCCGUGACAUGGAGUCUUCUACAGGUCUGUCUUUAAAUACCAGUUGUUCUGUUUUACACUUUUCUGAAAAUGAUAUUAUGCAUAAGGCGGAUAAUCUGGGUAUUUCGUUAGGUAAUAACAAUCGCGAAAUAGUUACUUCUAUCAAUGAACUUCUUGAUCUAGAGACAGAUAGAGCAAUGGAUAUGCUUAAAAAUUUAGCGGCUAUAAAACCAAUGCAAGAAAGAGAGAUUAAUAAGUUGGGUAUGUGUGAGUUGGAGGGUUUAUGCGAGGACCUGGUUCCUGCGAACCUUCUGCAUGAGGAAGCUUUGGAAGAGGAGGGGUAUGCGGCCACUCUAUCUUCACCUAUAGAUCUCAGCGAGGAUACUAGUCUUGCGGACUGUAUGAUCCUCCCUCAGGCACUAAAGCGUAAAUGGCAAAAAAAGGUAUAUGGCCUUUAAGAAGAAAUUCCACGAUGAUUCAUGAGAGGCAUUUUUUGGAAUAGCAGAGGUCUUAGGGACUUGGCUAAGCAUAGGUUUUUGGCGGAUGCUUCUCGAGAAUACAAACUUGAUUUUAUUGCGUUACUUGAGACUGGUAGGGAUAAUUUCACUUCGCAAUUUCUUGGAACAAUCUCAGGUGGUCUUGACUUUGAUUGGCAUUGUCUGCCACCUCGGGGAAGAUCUGGCGGGAUACUCCUCGGUGUCAACUGCGACUCCCUGGAAGUACUAGAUGUAUUCUGGGGGGAGUUUGCAGUUAAGUUCCAUGUGCGGUCGAAAGCUGACGGGUUCAGGUGGGCUUUAGUAGCUGUGUAUGGGGUGGCGCAGCCAGAGCUAAAACCAGACUUCCUCCCUGAUUUAGUUAGGAUUUGUGGGCAUGAUAGUUUACCUAUUCUCGUUGGUGGUGACUUUAACAUUAUUAGAAGACGAGAAGAGAAAAAUAAUGACAAUUUUGAUGGCCGAUGGUCUUUCAUGUUUAAUGCGAUCAUUGCGAGAGAUUGAUCUCAUAGGAAGGCAAUUUACUUGGGCUAAUACUCUUGCAAAUCCAACUUAUGAAAAACUUGAUAGAGUCCUCACAAGUAUAGAGUGGGAACAAAAAUUCCCUCUAGUGACGGUGCAAGCAUUACAGAGGGGAAUAUCUAAUCAUACACCCCUUCUUGUAGACUCUGGUGAGGCGGCUCACCAUGGGAACAAGAAUCUUUUCUCUUUUGAAACGGUGUGGUUCGAGAGAGAGGAUUUCCUUGAGUUAAUCACAAGGGAAUGGGUGAAGGAACACAGGGGCGUGUCACCUAUUGAUCGAUGGCAGUAUAUGAUUAGACAUCUUAGACAAUUCUUGCGAGGAUGGGCUAGGAACAAUAGUGGUGCUUAUAGAAAAGAGAAAGAACGAUUAUUAAUGGUUAUCAAUGACCUUGACAUAAAAGCUGAAAGCACUGUGCUAGAGAUGGAUGAGCGGGUGGCUAAAAGAGAUGCUGAAGUUAGUCUGGCAAAGCUUCUUAGAGAAGAGGAAUUGAAGUGGGCACUUAGAGCGGAAGUGCGCCAGGUUGUUCAAGGCGAUAACAAUACUCAAUUUUUCCAUAUGAUUGCCAAUGGGAAACAUAGGAAAAAGAGAAUCAUUCAACUUGAACAAGAUGAGGGUACGAUAGUUGGUCAUGAAAAUCUAAAAUUGUAUAUCACCAAUUAUUAUAAAAAUCUUUUUGGGGCCCCAGCUGAGAACUAUGUCACCCUCGAUGCGGGUAGGGUGGACGACAUUCCUCAGCUGAGGGAGGAAGAGAACGAAGUACUCACUGCACCUUUUACAGAGAAGGAGGUGUUUGAUGCGAUAUCCCAAAUGGAAAAUAACAAGGCACCUGGUCCGGAUGGAUUCCCAGCUGAGUUUUAUAAGAAAUGUUGGGGUAUUAUUAAAGGCGACUUGAUGCCCAUGUUCCAGGUUCUUUUUAAUGGCCACCUUCAACUUUUUAAGCUUAACUUUGGUACUAUCACGUUGUUACCGAAGAAGGCAGAAGUGAUUCGCAUCGAGCAAUUCAGGCCAAUAUGUUUGCUCAAUGUUAGCUUCAAGAUUUUCACAAAGGUUGGCACAAAUCGUUUGACUCAGAUUGCCCAUUCUGUGGUACAGCCAACCCAGACUGCCUUCAUGCCAGGACGACACAUUCUCGAGGGGGUGGUCGUUCUUCAUGAGACCUUGCACGAAAUUCACUCGAAGAAACUCAAUGGGGUGGUCUUCAAAGUGGAUUUUGAAAAGGCAUAUGAUAAGGUGAAAUGGCCAUUCUUACAGCAGGCCUUACAUAUGAAAGGAUUCGAUGAGGCUUGGAGGAAGCAGGUCGAAUCAUUUGUACAAGGAGGCAGUGUUGGCAUCAAAGUAAAUGAUGAUAUUGGUCAGUACUUCCAGACGCUAAAAGGAUUGAGACAGGGAGAUCCGAUGUCUCCGAUCCUUUUUAAUGUGGUUGUUGAUAUGUUGGUUGUUCUUGUUAAUAGAGCAAAACAGGACGGCCAAGUAGGUGGUCUUAUCCCACAUCUGGUUGAGGGUGGGGUGUCCAUUCUUCAAUAUACCAAUGAUACAAUCAUUUUCAUGGAACAUGACCUUGUCAAUGCCAGAAAUAUGAAGUUAGUGCUUUGCCUUUUCGAACAGCUAUCAGGGUUGAAGAUUAAUUUUAAUAAAAGUGAGUUGUUUUGCUUUGGACGCGCCAAAGAAGAACAAGAAACUUACAAGCAGUUGUUCGGUGUGAAUUAGGCAUGUUACCCUUCACGUAUUUAGGGAUUCCGAUUCAUCACCGCAAGCUCACUAAUAAAGAGUGGAAAUGUAGCGAGGAUCGGUUUGAAAAGACUGGGUUGCUGGAAGGGCAAACUUUUGUCUUAUGGAGGUCGAUUGGUGCUUAUUAAUUCUGUUCUCGCAAGUAUGCCCAUGUUCCUCCUCUCUUUCUUUGAAGUCCCGGUUGGGGUACGGAAAAGAUUGGAUUUUUAUCGAUCUAGAUUCUUUUGGCAAAUUGAUGAAAACAAAAAUAAAUAUAGAUUGGCAAAAUGAGAUGUAAUUUGCAGACCUAAGGAUCAGGCAGGCUUGGGAAUUGAAAAUUUGGAGGUGAAAAAUAGGUGUUUACUCAGCAAAUGGCUGUACCGUUUAUCGAUAGAAACAGAUGGAGUCUGGGCUCAGCUUCUGCGUAACAAAUAUCUCUAUGCCAAAACUCUGGCCCAGGUUACGGCCAAACCGUCUGACUCACCGUUCUGGAAAGGGGUUAUGAAGACGAAGGUAGCCUUCCUCAGCAGGACUAAGUUUAUUGUCGGGAAUGGACAUGAGACUAGAUUUUGGGAAGAUACUUGGUUAGGUGACUCACCACUGGCCUUGCAGUAUCCGUCCCUUUACAACAUAGCACAACGGAAAGAGGUCUCCGUUGCUACAGUGAUGGGCUCCGUUCCUCUUAAUAUACAAUUUAGGUGAUCUGUUAUUGGUGAGCAUUGGGAUAGAUGGUUACAUCUUGUGCGUAGGUUAAUGGAGGUUAACCUUUCCGAUGUACCAGACACUCUGCAAUGGAAGCUUUCCAGGUCAGGAGUCUUCUCGGUUAAAUCCAUGUACACGGACUUGAUUAAUACUGGGACUAUCCCGUGGACGGUGCAUAUUUGGAAAGUUAAGGUUGUAACACCCCGGAUGUAGCUUUCCAUUAUUGUAACUCCAAUUCUUGCCAUUUCCGCCUAUGUGAUGUGUUAUUUCCUCCGUGGUUGGGGUUUUGUCUUUUGUUUUGCAUUUUGUUCAUGUCUUGCAUUUCAUCUCAUAGCAUCAUGCGCAUUGCAUCUGCAUGUUUUCAUAAAACUCGUAGCCGUUCGCAGUUGCCCUUUCUCUCUUUGCCUCCGGUGUCAUUUUGUCAGGCCCUUGUCCUUGUUGACCUCUCUCAGACCCCUCGUGUGCGUGUCCGAAACUUACCCGAACCUGAACCGCUCAGUCGUGACAAUUGGAUCCGGAUCAUCCCCAAACAUCUGUAAAAUAUCUUCGUUUCUUCUUUGGCUCCCCUAACCUAAUUACUCUCGGCUGUUCGAUUACGAAUGGAGGGACCGGAUCAAACCUUAUCCUAAUCCCCUACCUAUAUAUUGAGCCUAACCCUAGAUCCUAGGAUGUCCCAUCCAUCCAUUCCGCCCGCCGCCGCCAGCCCACCUGGUCUCCUCCUCGGCUUCCUCACCGAGCCAACCACCAUCCAUCCCGAUCCACCUCCCUCUAACCAGCCUCCGACCACCUCCCUGGUUUUCCGCGUAGCCCAAAUCGCAGCAGCCAACAACCAUCCUUCUACCCGAGCAAGCACGGCCAUGGCCACGCUCACCGAAGCUCUGCACCACCCCAAGCUUCUCUGCCUCCGGUGUCGUCCCGCUCGUCCCGGCUUCCUCUACGCCCGGAGCUCUCCUAGCCGUGCGCCUCCUCCUCAUUCCCAGCGAAGCCCCGUCCUCUCGAGCUCUCCUGCAGGCAACCCCGCGCCCGAUCCAGGCGGGAUCGAGGCGACCACCUCGUGCACGCCGAGUCCAAUCGUCGGACCAGCUCCACCACCAGGCUGCCCCUCUCCUUCUCUUUUCCUUCUUCCCCCUGGUGCUUCUCUCCCUCUUUAAUCUGCACGCUGUUGUUCUAAUUCUCCGUUGCCUCUGUGGUUUGCAGAGGCCGAAGCCGCCGCCGCCAUGCAAGCCUUGCUCAAGCUCCACCCGCGCCGGAUCCACCUCCUCCGGCUUCCCCCAUGUAACCCCCGUCGUCGCCCCGUUACCCGGCUUCGCCGGAGAUCACUGCCGUGAAGACCUUCUUCGAGCCAUGGCGCACCAAGGUCGUCAUCGCCCCCUGCAGCCACGCCUUGCUCCAACCCUCGCGAGAUCUAGCAAGUCCGGCUCUUCCCCGACCCGUUCAAGCCAGUCCCGGCCUUUCCCUCGUAGGAUCCGGCCGAUCUCCCCGCGCCCCGCCGUCUGCUGCCUCCUCUGCAUCGCGCCGGUGUGCCGUUCCCCUACUUCUGUGUGCGAGCACACGAGGACGAUGACCAGCACCAAGUCCUGCUCGAGCAACCGCCUGCGUUGACCCACAUGCCUCCGCGCCAAGGCCCAGCCGCGGCAGAUCCGCCAGCCCAAGCCGGCCUUCUCCACCGACCGGGCCAAGAGCCCAAGGGUGAGCAGCCCCCCAGCCCCUCCUGUGCACUGUUGGCCCAGCAGUUUCGGCCCAUAUCAUUUUUUUUCCGUUCUGCGAAUUUGUCCAAUUAUCUAGAGAGUGUAGAUUUUUAGAAAAACCCCUAAGCAUCAUGCAUUUAAUAUCUCACAAACCGUGCAUCGGAUUAAAAUGUUUUAAAUAUGUAAAAUGCUUAGUUUUUCAUCUAGUUUCAUAAUAUGCUGCUUUCAUCCAUGUUAAAUAUGUUUAAAUUGUUGUUUGUUUUAAAUUUGCUCAAAUGUCAUGUUAAAAUGCUUUAUUUCAUAACUAAAUAACCGUAGCUCCGAUUUUAAUAAACUUUAUAUGUAAAUGGGAUGGAAAAAUGCCUAGUUUAACAUGGUGCACUUUAUUUUCCUGUUUAACAACAACAAAAUAUGUUUUAGGGUAGAAGAGUACCAAAUUUGAAAUAUGCAUAUGGGGAUUUUCCGGAAUUGUUCUUUGUUGUUUCCGGCCUCAUUUGAACUUGCCUAAAUAGUUAGAUUGCUUAUGUUACACCUCUUGCCACAUUUAACAACAUUUAACAUUGAUGUGUACCUAAACGAGAGUGAACUAAAUACUUGAAUGUGGUGUUUCGUCAAGAUGCAACUCGUUGCAUAUUGAGCUCCACUUAAUUUGUAGUAUUGUUUCUGCACUUUGCCAUGUCAUGCCUAUUUAAACCGGACAUGCAUCAUACUUGUUUGUGCAUCAUGCCAUGAUUAUGCUUGUGCAUUUACCAUGUUGUUUGCUUCUUUCCGGGUUGCUUCUCUCGUUAGCUUUGGUUUCGUUCCGGAGUUGUGAGGAUUCGUUCGACCAUGUCCGCUUGUCUUCUUCAUGGACUCGUUAUUCUUCCUAGCGGGAUCUCAGGCAAGAUGACCGUCACCUUGGAUCUCACUACUAUCAUUGCUAUGCUAGUUGCUUCGUUCUAUCACUAUGCUGCGCUACCUAUCACUUGUUCUUCAAGCCUCCCAAAUUGCUAUGAACCUCUAACCUUUGUCACCCUUACUAGCAAACUGUUGUUUGGCUAUGUUAUCGCUUUUGCUCGGCCCCUCUUAUAGCGUUGCUAGUUGCAGGUGAAGUUGAAGAUUGCUCCAUGGUGGACAGGAUUAUGUUGGGAUAUCACAAUAUCUCUUAUUUAAUUAAUGCAUCUAUAUACUUGGUAAAGGGUGGAAGACUCGGCCUUAUGCCUGGUGUUUUGUUCCACUCUUGCCGCCCUAGUUUCCGUCAUACCGGUGUUACGUUCCCGGAUUUUGCGUUCCUUACGUGGUUGGGUGAUUUAUGGGCCCCCCUUGACAGUUCCCUUUGAAUAAAACUCCUCCAGCAAGGCCCAACCUUGGUUUUACCAUUUGCCUCACCACCACCUAUACCCUUCCCUUGGGUCGGCCAACCCGAGGGUCAUCUUUAUUUUAGCCCCCCGGGCCAAUGCUUGUCUAAGUGUUGGUCCAAACCGAGCGAUGUCCGGCGCCCCAUGGGCAACCAGGGUCUAUGCCAACCCGACGUCUGGCUCAUCCAGUGUGCCUUGAGAACGAGAUACGUGUGACUCCUAUCGGGAUUUGUCGGCACAUCGGGCGACUUUGUUGGUCUUGUUUUACCAUUGUCGAAAUGUCUUGUAAACUGGGAUUCCGAGUCUGAUCGGGUCUUCCUGGGAGAAGGUAUAUCCUUCGUUGAUCGUGAGAGCUUAUCAUGGGCUAAGUUGGGACACCCCUGCAGGGUAUAAACUUUCGAGAGCCGUGCCCACGGUUAUGUGGCAGAUGGGAAUUUGUUAAUGUCCGGUUGUAGAUAACUUGACACCAGAUCCGAAUUAAAACGCAUCAACCACGUGUGUAGCCGUGAUGGUCUCUUUUCCGCGGAGUCCGAAAAGUGAUCACGGUUUUUGGGUUAUGUUUGACGUAAGUAGGAGUUCAGGAUCACUUCGUGAUCAUUACUAGCUUCAUGAUCGUUCCGUUUGCUCUCUUCUCGCUCUUAUUUGCGUAUGUUAGCCACCAUAAAUGCUUAGUCGCUGCUGCAACCUCACCACUUUACCCCUUCCUUACCCUUUAAGCUUUGCUAGUCUUGAUACCCAUGGUUAUGGGAUUGCUGAGUCCUCGUGGCUCAUAGAUUACUACAACAACAGUUGCAGGUACAGGUUUUGCGAUGAUCAUGACGCGAGAGCGAUGCUUGCUUGUCUUGAGUUCUUCUUCUGCUUCUUCUUCGAUCAGGGGAUAGGUUCCAGGUCGGCAGCCUGGGUUAGCAGGGUGGAUGUCGUUUGAGUUUCUGUUUGUGUUUCAUCCGUAGUCGGAUGGUGCUCUUAUGUAAGAUGAUGUUGUACUCGUGUGGCAUUGUAUGCCUUUUGUAUGUAUCCCCAUCUAUUAUGUAAUGUUGAUGUAAUGAUAUCCACCUUGCAAAAGCGUUUCAAUAUGCGGUUCUAUCCUUGGUGGGACCUUCGAGUCUCUUUAGGAUAGUAUCGCAUAUUGGGCGUGACAAGUUGGUAUCAGAGCCUCGACCGACCAUAGGAGCCCCCUUGUUUGUUGGCCGUUGUUGAGUCUAGAACAAAAAUUUUUUUGAGUCUCGGGAUUAUAUAUAUCGAAGAGUAGGUUUCUUUUUACUCCUCAGUCCCUUCGUCGCUCUGGUGAGGUCUCCUGACAUAGAUGUUUUGUCUUUCCUCUCCUCAAUUUUUCACAAAAAAAAAUUUAGGAUCACGCGGGUAUCUUGGGAUCGUUACGAUUUCUUGUGACGAGAAUAUUGUUCUUGGUGCCUCCUGACAUUUAGGGGUUGUGGCAGUGUCCCGGGGAGUUGAGCUCCGAGGUGUUGUCAUCACAAUUUUAUCGCUGCAGUUCUAGAAUACCUGAGUUUUGCCGACAUCGAAAAUCUCUUUUAUGCAGUUGUUGGUGAGAUAACCUCAAUGCCACCUAGUACCGGGGAGUUCGGGAGUAUUGCCAUAACUCGUAUAACAGAUGCUUUUCGAAGGUUGAGGUACACGAUUUCCGAAGUUUUCUUGGUUAUCUGUUGGCGGAUGGAUACAGCUGGAUGUAGGGAUUGUUAGUUUGGGUGAGAUAUAUUGCUUCCCCUGUAUCCCCAACACCAGAUUGCAUAACCAGAAAGUUUCGGGAGUUUAUAGGUGGGAAUUCUAGUAGCUCCUAGAAUAUCUUUCCAACAGAUGCAUGAUAUGGGAUUGGGUAAAUCUCUAUCAUAUGUAUUUGUUUCGGCUUAUUCUGCAAGCCAAAUCCUUUGUUUUGUUUUAUUUGUGGUAUUCGAGUUGCUUUGAAGUCAAAUGUUGAAUCCAUACCUUUCCUAAACGGUGUUCUCAUAUUGCUAUGUGAAUACUAAUCCUUCUUGACCAUCGAGGUCGUCAUGUUAACUCUUUUCCAACCGGUGUGCUUCUCUUCAAGUGGAUAUGAUCAUUUCAACAUUUGUGAGAUCAAUUCUAAGUUUUCUCAACGGUAUCCGUUUCAUCCGUCCCAAGUUGCCUUUGUUUUCCCGCCCUCCCACCCUUUUACUUCGAGGACUCAGAUUUCUUAAUCAUGUAUCCUUUUAUUUGAGAGAAGUCUCUUCAUUAUUUUCUUUCGAUGUUCUUAUCCGGUGAUUUCCCAUGAAGAUGCUCAACAGUUUCAAGUUCAUCAUCCUCCAUUUUUUUUCUUCUCCGAUGGAUCCAAUUCAAGCUUUCAGUGUUGAUCAUAUUCUUUUCCUCGUGUCAAAUGCUUUCUCAUGCCGGUGCACCUCUCAAUCACUCACCUCUUGCUAUUCAUUUGUUCCAGAGUGUUGAAGAUAUCUCAGAAGAUUUGUGUUUCCAUUCUUAAUCCAUUCAAGCUAUUUGGAGAUUGGUAUCUCAUUCAAGCCAUUUAAUUCAACCGGCGCAAUCUCUCUUUAAAAUCAUUUCCAACGGUGUUUUCUUUUGAGUGGGCCCUAACCCACAGGUCUUUUCCCAGGAUCUUACCUGACUCUUCGAAUUAUCAGGAGCGAUUCUCAAAUUCAUUUCCAAGUUUGAUGUAAGAAUGAAUUUUCAUCAGUCACUGCCUUCUCCAAGGUCGUUUUCAAAUUCUUUUCAUCUUUGGCUCAACCUUUCCUCUUUUAAUUCUCCCGGGGUAUCUCAACAAUUCAUGGUGGUUCUCAUCAUCAUUCUCAACAUUUGAAGACCGAAGAAGAGUUUUUUUCCUCUAAAUCUUGGUCCAUUCUCUUGAAGAUUCAUGGUUCUAGCUUCAUGCCAUCCUCAUAAUUGUUUUCGAUUGUGAGAAUUCUUUUCACCCAUCCGAAGCAUUUUGUGAGUUCUUUCCAAUUUAUUCCUACGAAGGCCAUCAUUUCGGGUUUAUUCAUUCUCAACUUUUAGCUCUCCUUCUCCAUAUUCUACCGGUGCAUCAUUCAAGUAUUCUCUAAUAAGCUCAUGAUCUCUUCGUUCACUUGUAUCUAAAUCCCCUCAAGUAUCUUCAUUCUUUCCGGUGAUUUGUGCCUUUGCUACUUUCAUUUUCAAUUCUUACGGUGGUUCGUUCGAGAUUCCUCUUCCUUUGCUACCGUAUCAUUUCAUUCGUUGUUUCCAAUCCCACCGGUGGUUCCAUCAAUACCUUCUCAAGUUUGUGCUAUAUCUCUCUUAAUCCUUUCUACGAGAAUAAGUAGUAUGCCAAAUCCGUUGCUUGUCAUCAAUUUAAUUUGAUGAAGGAUAAGCAUAUAAUAAAUCUUAUUCUUAUUUCCUUGAGGUGAUUCAAUUCUUUUCUUUCGGAGAUUGUUCAUGAUGAAGUAAUUCUCGGUUCUAGUGCUUCAUCUUUUCUUUUACGGAGUUCCAAGUUUUCUCGGUCAUAUCAUCGCGAAGCUCCAUCUAAAUCAUUGCAAGGCUUCACCUUGUGUUUUCAAUUUCUCUUUCUUUAUAUCAUCCUUUUAUUACCGGAGUUCUCCAUGGAGGCUCUACAUGGUGGUUCGUCAAGGAUUCUUUUCAUUCUUCAUUUGUUCUUCAAGGCUUCUCUCGAGGUGAUGAUCCGCCAAGCUAUACUCCAAAUUAAACAUGGUGCUUAACACAUGUUUUGUUUUGAGGCGUUCAAGUAUUCUUCUUCUUGCAUUCCAACGUGCAAUUCCUUCUACCUUAUCUUUUGAGGUGGUGUUAUGCCAUUCUUGACAAUUCCCUUCGUGUUUCAUGAUUCACAAGUUUUCAAGAAUGACAUAUUUUAAACCCAUCACUUUCUUCCUUGGAGUUACCUGGGUUUAGGUUACACCUAAAGCCUUCCCUAAGGAAUGUUGCUAAUUGUGGCGCCUAUCGAUAAUCCAAGUUUCCUCCUAUUCUCUCAUUAAAAGGAGUUUUCAUCUCCUUGCUGAUCUCAAUCCAAUUAACUGUUUCCAUCGGUGGUCGGUUGUCACCUCAUCAUAUUGAGAUUUUUCCAUAAGCCCACAACAAGCAUGUGCUUUUUGUUGUUGAUUUUCCAACAACUCCGUUAAAUCCUACUUUGCAAGGAUGCUUUCCAAGUUUAUUUGUGGCAAAAGUUGUCAUUUUCUUCUCCGUCCUUUUAUCCCAACAAUCUAUCUUCUAUUCUUUCUUCCGGGGGCAUUGUGAUGUUGCUCUUUUCACUCAUCAUCUCGAAUUGUGAGGAUCAUGUUCUUUUCGUGCUUAUCCAUUUAACUGGAGUGUUGUGUCAUCUCUUCAAAUUCUUUUCAUCUUAUCAAGUCAUGCGUCUCUUUUCAACCGGAGUGCUACCCGAAUUCUUUAUUCUUAUUCCUUGUCCAGCUAAUUUUAAUCGGAGUGGCUUGAAAAUCUGCCUUGUACCCUAAGCUCUUGGUUCUCAUCAUAUUCCUUGUUCCUCUUGUCCAACGGACUAUUUGCAAUCUUGGUCAUCUCCGUUGUUUUGUUUCUUUCAAUUUGUUCAACCUCUCAAGGUUCGUGGUUUCACUCGUUCGUCAAAGAAGCAACUUAGUUUACCUCUUAUCUUCCUCUUCCUUUUCCCUCUGGUGCCAUCCUAGAUCCCUAGACGAGAUCCUCUCGUAGUGGUGGAGUGUUGUAACACCCCGGAUGUAGCUUUCCAUUAUUGUAACUCCAACUCUUGCCAUUUCCGGCUAUGUGAUGUGUUAUUUCCUCCGUGGUUGGGUUUUUGUCUUUUGUUUUGCAUUUUGUUCAUGUCUUGCAUUUCAUCUCAUAGCAUCAUGCGCAUUGCAUCUGCAUGUUUUCAUAAAACUCAUAGCCGUUCACAGUUGCCCUUUCUCUCUUUGCCUCCAGUGUCAUUUUGUCAGGCCCUUGUCCUCGUUGACCUCUCUCAGACCCCUCGUGUGCGUGUCCGAAACUUACCCGAACCUGAACCGCUCAGUCGUGACCAUUGGAUCCGGAUCAUCCCCAAACAUCCGUAAAAUAUCUUUGUUUCUUCUUUGGCUCCCCUAACCUAAUUACUCUCGGCUGUUCGAUUACGAACGGAGGGACCGGAUCAACCCCUAUCCUAAUCCCCUACCUAUAUAUUGAGCCUAACCCUAGAUCCUAGGAUGUCCCAUCCGUCCAUUCUGCCCGCCGCCGCCAGCCCACCUGGUCUCCUCCUCGACUUCCUCACCGAGCCAACCACCAUCCAUCCCGAUCCACCUCCCUCCAACCAGCCUCCGACCACCUCCCUGGUUUUCCGCGUAGCCCAAAUCGCAGCAGCCAACAACCAUCCUUCUACCCGAGCAAGCACGACCAUGGCCACACCCCAAGCUGCUCUGCCUCCGGUGUUGUCCCGCUCGUCCCGGCUUCCUCUACGCCCGGAGCUCUCCUAGCCGUGCGCCUCCUCCUCGUUCCCAGCGAAGCCCCAUCCUCCCAAGCUCUCCUGCAAGCAGCCCCGCGCCUGAUCCAGGCGGGAUUUAGGGGACCACCUCGUGCACGCCAGGUGCUUCUCUCCCUCUUUAAUCUGCCCGCUGUUGUUCUAAUUCUCCGUUGCCUCUGUGGUUUGCAGAGGCCGAAGCCGCCGCCGCCAUGCGAGCCUUGCUCAAGCUCCACCCGCGCCGGAUCCACCUCCUCUGGCUUCCCCCAUGUAACCCCCAUCGUCGCCCCGUUACCGUGCUUCGCCGGAGAUCAUUGUCGUGAAGACCUUCUUCGAGCCAUGGCGCACCAAGGUCUUCAUCGCCCCCUGCAGCCGCGCCUUGCUCCAACCCUCGCGAGAUCUAGCAAGUCCGGCUCUUCCCCGACCCGUUCAAGCCAGUCCCGGCCUUUCCCUCGUAGGAUCCGGCCGAUCUCCCCGCGCCCCGCCGUCUGCUGCCUCCUCUGCAUCGCGCCGGUGUGCCAUUCCCCUGCUUCUGCGUGCGAGCACGCGAGGACGAUGACCAGCGCCAAGUCCUGCUCGAGCAACCUCCUGCGUUGACCCACCUGCCUCCGCGCCAAGGCCCAGCCGCGCCAGAUCCGCCAACCCAAGCCGGCCUCCUCCACCGACCGGGCCAAGAGCCCAAGGGUGAGCAGCCCCCCAGCCCCUCAUGUGCACUGUUGGCCCAGCAGUUUCGGCCCAUAUCAUUUUUUUUUCGUUCUGCGAACUUGUCCAAUUAUCCAGAGAGUGUAGAUUUUCAGAAAAACCCCUAAGCAUCAUGCAUUUAAUAUCUCACAAACCGUGCAUCGGAUUAAAAUGUUUUAAAUAUGUAAAAUGCUUAGUUUUUCAUCUAGUUUCAUAAUAUGCUGCUUUCAUCCAUGUUAAAUAUGUUUAAAUUGCUGUUUGUUUAAAUUUGCUCAAAUGUCAUGUUAAAAUGCUUUAUUUCAUAACUAAAUAACCGUAGCUCCGAUUUUAAUAAACUUUAUAUGUAAAUGGGGUGGAAAAAUGCCUAGUUUAACAUGGUGCACUUUAUUUUCCUGUUUAACAAAAAUAAAAUUGUUUUAGGGCAGAAGAGUACCAAAUUUGAAAUAUGCAUAUGGGGAUUUUUUGGAAUUGUUGUUUGUUGUUUCCGGCCUCAUUUGAACUUGCCUAAAUAGUUAGAUUACUUAUGUUACACCUCUUGCCACGUUUAACAACAUUUAACAUUGAUGUGUACCUAAACGAGAGUGAACUAAAUACUUGAAUGUGGUGUUUCGUCAAGAUGCAACUCAUUGCAUAUUGAGCUCCACUUAAUUUGUAGUAUUGUUUCUGCACUUUGCCAUGCCAUGCCUAUUUAAACCGGACAUGCAUCAUACUUGUUUGUGCAUCAUGCCAUGAUUAUGCUUGUGCAUUUACCAUGUUGUUUGCUUCUUUCCGGGUUGCUUCUCUCGUUAGCUUUGGUUUCGUUCCGGAGUUGUGAGGAUUCGUUCGACCAUGUCCGCUUGUCUUCUUCAUGGGCUCGUUCUUCUUCCUAGCGGGAUCUCAGGCAAGAUGACCAUCACCUUGGAUCUCACUACUAUCAUUGCUAUGCUAGUUACUUCGUUCUAUCGCUAUGCUGUGCUACCUAUCACUUGUUCUUCAAGCCUCCCAAAUUGCCAUGAACCUCUAACCGUUGUCACCCUUCCUAGCAAACCGUUGUUUGGCUAUGUUACCACUUUUGCUCGGCCCCUCUUAUAGCGUUACUAGUUGGAGGUGAAGUUGAAGAUUGCUCCAUGGUGGACAGGAUUAUGUUGGGAUAUCACAAUAUCUCUUAUUUAAUUAAUGCAUCUAUAUACUUGGUAAAGGGUGGAAGACUCGGCCUUAUGUCUGGUGUUUUGUUCCACUCUUGCCGCCCUAGUUUCCGUCAUACCGGUGUUAUGUUCCCGGAUUUUGCGUUCCUUGCGCGGCUGGGUGAUUUAUGGGACCCCCUUGACAGUUCGCUUUGAAUAAAACUCCUCCAGCAAGGCCCAACCUUGGUUUUACCAUUUGCCUCACCACCAACUAUACCCUUCCCUUGGGUCGGCCAACCCGAUGGUCAUCUUUAUUUUAGCCCCCCGUGCAAAUGCUUGUCUAAGUGUUGGUCCAAACCGAGCGAUGUCCGGCGCCCCCUGGGCAACCAGGGUCUAUGCCAACCCGACGUCUAGCUCAUCCGGUGUGCCCUGAGAACGAGAUACGUGUGACUCCUAUCGGGAUUUGUCGGCACAUCGGGCAACUUUGCUGGUCUUGUUUUACCAUUGUCGAAAUGUCUUGUAAACCGGGAUUCCGAGUCUGAUCGGGUCUUCCUGGGAGAAGGUAUAUCCUUCGUUGAUCGCGAGAGCUUAUCAUGGGCUAAGUUGGGACACCCCUGCAGGGUAUAAACUUUCGAGAGCCGUGCCCGCGGUUAUGUGGCAGAUGGGAAGUUGUUAAUGUCCGGUUGUAGAUAACUUGACACCAGAUCCGAAUUAAAACGCAUCAACCGCGUGUGUAGCCGUGAUGGUCUCUUUUCGGCGGAGUCUGAAAAGUGAUCACGGUUUUUGGGUUAUGUUUGACGUAAGUAGGAGUUCAGGAUCACUUCGUGAUCAUUACUAGCUUCACGAUCGUUCCGUUUGCUCUCUUCUCGCUCUUAUUUGCGUAUGUUAGCCACCAUAUAUAAUUAGUCGCUGCUGCAACCUCACCACUUUACCCCUUCCUUACUCUUUAAGCUUUGCUAGUCUUGAUACCCAUGGUUAUGGGAUUGCUGAGUCCUCGUGGCUCAUAGAUUACUACAACAACAGUUGCAGGUACAGGUUUUGCGAUGAUCAUGACGCGAGAGCGAUGCUUGCUUGUCUUGAGUUCUUCUUCUGCUUCUUCUUCGAUCAGGGGAUAGGUUCCAGGUCGGCAGCCUGGGUUAGCAGGGUGGAUGUCGUUUGAGUUUCUGUUUGUGUUUCAUCCGUAGUCGGAUGGUGCUCUUAUAUAAGAUGAUGUUGUACUCGUGUGGCAUUGUAUGCCUUUUGUAUGUAUCCCCAUCUAUUAUGUAAUGUUGAUGUAAUGAUAUCCACCUUGCAAAAGCGUUUCAAUAUGCGGUUCUAUCCUUGGUGGACCUUCGAGUCUCUUUAGGAUAGUAUCGCAUAUUGGGCGUGACAAAGGUGCCCUUGAAGAUAAAAGUUUUUAUGUGGUUUGUGCAUAAGGGUGUCAUUCUCACUAAAGAUAAUUUAGCUAAGCGUAACUGGGAAGGAAGUAAAAGAUGUUGCUUUUGUGAUCAGGACGAAACAAUAGAGCAUUUAUUUAUCAAUUGUCCGCUUGCUAAACUACUUUGACGAACUAUUCAUGUUAGCUUCAAUAUAACUCCACCUCUCACGAUAUCACAUUUGUUUGAUAACUAGUUGGCUGGAGUGGAGCCAAAGUCUGCGGCGCAUAUCCGAGUGGGAGCAUGUGCAUUACUUUGGUCUUUGUGGACAUGUCGCAAUGACGUUGCCUUUAACAGACAAACCAUCAUUAUUUUUUUGUAGGUCAUCUUCAGGACGUCUAGUUGGAUCCGUGCGUGGUCUUUACUCAGCCGUGCGGACCUCAGGGAGCAUAUGGAUAUUGGGUGCAGCCGAUGGAAGAUGAUUGCACGGGAUACUUACAACCGGUUUGGAUGGCGAUCCACUAAUAGGAUAGGCAUUUAAUAUCCUAGUCUUUGGGCGCCAGUUUGAUUUUAUUUUUGGGCCGCUUGUGGCAUUUCUUUAGUUACUAAGACCUUCGUUUAUUUUUGAGACUUCUUGUUGGAACCUUCGGGCAACUUUUUUAAUAAAUGGCUGUGUGCAGAGAUGCAGAGGCCGGGGGUAAGCCACCUUUUCGGAAAAAAAAGUUAUAUGUUAGGUUAAAUUCUGAUUUAACAUAUGGAACUAGUUACAUUUCUUCAAUUUUGCUUGUAAUAUAGUGAACUAGUCUAAAUUUCAUCCAAAUUUACUGUUUGGAAUAUUUGAAAUUUAAGGGCCAGCUUUGGAGGACCGGCGCCCGACGAGCUAUCCGCAAAUACGUCCAAACUAUGUCUAUAGACAUCUGAGAGCGUCCGGUUGAUGAAUGCCCUAAUGGGUAAUGGCUUGACCAAUGACUUUCUUCAAAGCGUUCGAAGAUGCUAUUCAGCACUGACCGUAGCUGAAAUGUCAUCUCUGGCCCUGCAGGUCAUCUUGAGAUGUCAUGGUACCAUUUAGUAUAAACUUAUUUGCGAUGAUAAUGAGCUACUAGUAAUUUCCUAUCAGAAAAAUCCAAUGCCAACAAAAUGAAGACCAAACAACCAAUUCAAUUGGAAAGCGCAACCCACACGAAUCAAUUUAAGUGUGCCUUAUUGGUUGAUGACAACUUCUAAAAGUAAGCAUCAAAAUCCAAUGCCAACAAAAUGAAGACCAAACAACCAAUUCAAUUGGAAAGCGCAACCCACACAAAUCAAUUUAAGUGCGCCUUAUUGGUUGAUGACAACUUCUAAAAGUAAGCAUCAAAAUCCAAUGCCAACAAAAUGAAGACCAAACAACCAAUUCAAUUGGAAAGCGCAACCCACACGAAUCAAUUUAAGUGCGCCUUAUUGGUUGAUGACAACUUCUAAAAGUAAGCAUCAAUGAGAACUGGGAAGUACACAUUUCUGGACAAUUUUUUUUACUGAAAUCACUUAGCAGAUCAUGAAAGUUUAGGACAGACAAACCUAUCGAAGAACAAUAGAUGCAAGCGCAUUUCGCAGUACAGAAUCCUGAGAGAUCCAAGGUACAUAGCCAUAACAAGACAAACCCCAGGAGCCUACAAAACUCUGUCCUCUGCAUGCCCGCUCUCCAUCAUUUCAAAGUUUCAAAUCAAAGCAAACGCACUACCACAAAACCUCAAGUCUCAGCUCGAGUGAAACAUGAUAUGAAUUAAUGAUGAACCCCGGGCAGCAGAAAUCAGUAAAUAAUCCUCCAAAAACCGUACCAAUUCAUCCGGGAAAAACUUUAUGGUUCCAGUGACUUGCCUGGAUAAGGCGAUUUAGGGCGGCUAGAAAUUGUUCUCAAGACAGAGUAGGCAAAACAUGAUGGCUUGUACUUGACAAAGGAAGUGCUGCAACUAUGUUGUUGACCGCUACUAUGACAGACGGACGACAGGAAAUGGUCUUAUUAUAACUAGCCUAUCAGUGACGCUUGCACAGCGGAUAAUGCAAACCUCCCCU